rnacentral:lncRNA from 1 species
GCCUGGAAGAGCACGGAGGCGUGGAUGUCGACGAGGUCGGAGCUGGCCUGGCUGAAGCUGUCGAUGAUCGGCGUGGCUCCCUUGUUGUAGAGCCACCCCAGGAUUCCCCACCUGCUGCUCUCCACGGCGUCGAACUUCUCCUCCACCUUGGCGGAGCCCGUGCCCAGCGACAGCACCAAGAACUUGCCGUAGUCCGCUGGCUUGAUCGGGAAGAAGUCCUGGUUUCCCAGCAGGAUCUGCUUGCUCACGUGCGUCAUCGCCAGCAGCGUCUGCAAAAUUUGUCAAGUUUCGUCAGCGUCACGUACGAUUAUUCAUAGAAGUCAACAAGUAUACACGUAGUACUAGCAUAUAUGGAUGUUCGGUAGAUCACACACCGGAUUGUUUGCGGCGACGCCACCGUCGAUGAGGUUGAAGGCCCGGGGCUUGCCGUCCUUGUCUGUCGUCUGGAACUGGUGGCCUGGAAGGUAGGUCGGCGCGGCGGACGUGCUGAUGCAGACGUCGGAGAGCAGAGCGUCCUUGGAGACAUCGCUCAUGGCCUGCAUGAAUAAUCACCGGAGCAUUAGCACGGUGAAAUUAACAUGAUGCAUGCAUCGACGAUCGUGCAUGCAUGCACCUAUCUUAUCACAGAUGUACUUUGUGCAUAUAUGGACGCGUACAUCGUAUCUGGAGAAGACAGUGGGCUGGAGGAGUUUGAUGUCGAAGGUGGGGAUGACGAUGUUCUGGAGCGCCUGGCUGACCCUCGUCUCGCCGAGGAGCUCCCGGACGAUGGAGUGGAGGUACUUGCCGUCGUACUUGGGCCCUGCCAUGCUCUUGAACAACCCCAGAGGACCGCCGCUGCACAACACACAAGACGAUUGAUCCAGUCAAACAUUUGCACCACGUACGCCUUCCUCAUGAAGGCUAGUGAGUAGUAUGACUCGUUGACUCGUGUAGGUUCGUCGUGCGUGCAUGCAAAGUUUUGGAUAUAUGGAUCAUCCUCACCUGCCGGAUGGGAAGAUCUUGGGGCAGUGCUCGAGGUAGAAGUCGUUGAUGUCCUUGGCAGCAAAGAGCGGACGGCCGUCCUUGUUCGGCGCCGUGAGCAUGGCCGUCACCAGCCCGCCGGUGCUGGUCCCGGCGAUCACGUCGAAGUAGUCCGCCAGCCUCGCGUCCGGCCCGUCGAGCUCCUGCAGUCACGAAAUCCAUGCAUGGUCAGAGCUGGCCGGUACGGUGCAUCGGAGAGAGAACAGAGUUGUGUAUGAAUCAUCAUGAACCUGCAGCUUUUCCUCGAGGAAGCCGAGGAUGGUGCCCGGGAUGAUCCCGCGCACGCCACCGCCGUCGAUGCUCAGCACGGUGACGAUGCUCCCGUAGGCCGGCGGAGGCGACUUGGGCGUGCCCAGCGUCGACGUCGACGCGCCGCGGCUGAGCGCCCGCCGCGCCACCGGGUUCAGCGUCAGGCCGGAGCCGGAGCCGCUGGUGCCGGCGAGCUCCCCAGCAUACACCGGCGCCAUGGAAGACACGUACGAUCUACGACCUACGUACUUCGUUCACUCGAUCACCGAGUAAUCAACAAUCAGACAGACCAGACCUCAGUCACCUCACUAGCUCGGAGAAAGGAGAUGCUCGUUUGUGCUGUUGGCUAUUGAGCGAGUGUAUUCGUGCUAUGUAGCAGUAGCUGGGUCGAUGCAGGAGAAUUUAUAACCGAUGGAGAUCGAGCAGGGUUAAACGAUAACGAACGGGGCAACACGGGGGGUUUACUGAAUCAAAACUGGAGAUUUCGUCAGCAGAUACUAGCUAGGAGAUCGAGGUCGAAGUUCGUGAGUCCCCAAAGGAAAAUGGAUGAUGACGAGUCCGAAAGCUGCAUAUUUUGAACAAAUCAAAGAGUGAACACAGGGGAGGCAGCCGAUCAGCCGAGCACGUACUACGUACGCGGGGCCCUUUGAGAAGAUCCAGUCCGGUCGCCGUCGCGGUGUUGGCCUGGCGUGACGACGAUAGCUAGAUCGCAGGAAGGAAGGAUCGGGUCAAGGUCGCGCACGAGUGGAGUAGUGGAAACCGCGAUAUUUUUUUCUGGGCUUGCUCGGUGGAAAAGUCCAGUCCCGCUCCGCACUUCCGCUUCGGCGUGAUGGGCAGCAUGCAUGGGCCGGAAAACCUACUGUUUUCCGCGGCAGGCAGCCCAUCCAUUCGAUCGGUGCCACUUGCCAGGUUUGGCUGGCUUUUUCGCUUGCGCGAAUUGCGAUCGCGACUCCGACGUAGCUGAUUGCCACCACGUCGCCGGCCGGUGUAGAAGGACGGACGUAUGCGGGCGUGCGUACGUACGCGUAUCGAGGAAUUUCUACGCUGGGGAAGCGGCCGGAUCGGAAGUCUCGCUCGUACGUGCCUUGUUUCGCAGCGCGUUGUUGGGACGACGAAAUACUAGUUGAUUGUUGGUUCAGAUCGAUGACGCAUGACUCGUGUAAGUGUGUGACUGUUUGGCAGGAAGAGAUUCAAGCUUGGCAGGCACCGCCCUACGUAACGUACUCCACACAUUUGUGUUCUGACCGUUGAUUUUUCACUUGUCACACAUAGGUACUGGACCAAGGAACAGGAGACCAACUUAGGGAAGAAAGGACGACCGGGACAGAAAUGACAAGUGUCAAGUGCGGUUUCUACACUCAAUUGGCCGUGCACUAUUCUAUCUUAUCUCUUUACUCUUUCUAAUUGGGUAAAGGACCAUUGGAAGAAAGCACCGUACGUGUUGAUCUUUCCAAUUUUCUAGUCCAAACACUCUCAAAAAAAAAAAAUCUAGUUCAAACGAGAGAAACCUCAAAGUUUUAUUUUUUCUAAAUUCACUGCCUCUCUGUUAUAAUAAAAAUAAAUAAUAUCCUAUGAUUUAAUUUCCCAAUUUUUUUAUUAUGAAAUACAAUAUAUAUCAACUCUCGACAUUUGGUACUGUAUUUUGACAUUUUUAGAUAUACGUUUUUUACUAUAUAUAUAUAAUGUAUAAAUAAAGUAUGUAGUACAAUCUAUAUCUACAAAAGCUAAAACAUUAUAUAUAUAUAUAUAUAUAUAUAUAUAUAUAUAUAUAUAUAUAUAUAUAUAUAUAUAUAUAUAUAUAUAUAUAUAUAUAUAUAUAUAUAUAUAUAUGUAUAUAUAUAUAGUAGAAGUAAUAUAUUUAAAAAACAAAACAUCUUACCAGUAUCAGUGGGGGUUUUAUGUUGCUGUUUUCAAGUCUCUCAUAUGCUAGAAACAGUCUAGACAAGUUUCUUCCACAUGAAACUUUCAUCAUAUCUCUCUUCAUCUAUUACUAUACCAUAUUAUCUUAUUUAAUGUACUAUUCUCACAAAACCUCCACUAAGACUGACUUUAUAAUUUGAAUCGGAGAAAUGCACUACGGUUUGAAGGCACCCAAUUGUCAACGUCGUUAGCCCCCUUGUUUUGCUUUAUUCAGCUGUGUCGUGCAUGGUUCAUGCAUGCCUUGCCACUUGACUGCUUCAUUUUUAUAUAUAUGGGGAGGCUUGUGAUUAGCACUAGCUAGUCGCCUGCUCGCUUAGCCGAAAGUCUGUCCGUGAGCAUUGCAUUGUUUUAUACAGAGAACCCGGCCCCUUUUGCUACUAUAAUUUAUCUCAGCAGUUCGCAGAACAUUCCAUCGUGUUUUGCCAAGCCUAACAUUCUACGCACGUCCCACAUGUUUCUAUUUUUCGAAACAUAAAAAAAAAACUCGAUCUACGCACAUCGAUCACAUCCAGCUCCAUCACGUGAAAGUUCAACGGGAUGCUGCAGUGCAGCUGGUGCAGAGAGAAAAUUAAAAAGGUAGCCAUCAUGUACAGCUAACGAUGAUGUUGAGUACGUAAUUAAGUUUAGUACGUAGUAUAUAUCAAUCGAUCGUGCCAUCAGUAGGGUAUCAAAUUCAAAGACAAACAUGGACCAGCACUAUUAAACGUUGCAUCGUUGUGACAAGUCAGAUGUACGCAGCUAGCUUUGCUUUCUUAAACAAAAGGAUAUACGCAUACAGGUUCAGAACAAGAUAUGAUCAUUGUAGAAAUAUAAUCUCUCUUCAAAUACUCUUCCUCCCGGUGCUUUUAAUUAAAUCCCUCCGUUUCUGAAUAGGGUAGAACAUUUGUGACUUCACUAUACGCAUUUCCUAGACCGGAAACUAUGCGUGUGGGCGACUUGGAUAAUUGUCACGUUGUCGUUUUACAUAUACCACCACGUACACUUCAAGAUAAGAAUGGAUAUAUAUAUAAAUAUUUUUCACAAAUCAAACAGGACCAAGGUUUGCAUAGUCCAUAAUCAAUAGCGUGGACAUGUGUUAAAAACGACUAGUAGUAUAUAAAAAUUAAAGAGUACGCCACCUUUAAUUUUCCAGCAUAUGACACGGUUAUUAUGCUAAGUUGAUUCCGUGGACUACCUUUAGAUUUGUGAUGACUAAUCGGUGGUUUGAAAGUUUCUGAUGAUAUGCAUCACUGUCGUUCGGCAAGUAACAUUUUACUCUGCAGCAAUUUUAAUAUGGUACCGAGACUUUAUUUUUAGGACCUAGUCACUAAAAUACCAAAUACCUCCCUCUAAAAGAGUCACUAAAGUUUAGUGGCUUUAGUAGAUAAGGGGCUACUAAAAGUGACUAAAGUGCAAACAUGGCCUGUUUGGUUUACCCCCACUAAAGUUUAGUGCUUGCAUUAAUUAAGGGUAAUAUGGUCUUUGUUUAGUGCUUUAGUGGUCUUUAGUGAAUAGAACCAAACAGGGUGCUAUUAAACUUUAGUGGGGUCACUAAACUUUAGUUUGAUCACUUUAGUUAUACGAUGUUUGGCAAACUAUGCUGAUAGACACCGCACAAAUAUCUAAUAUGUUGAUGGACAUCACUAACUCUAAAAUAUACUUAGUACCAUUAUAAAAUUAUAAUUCUUUGCUAUUAGACACCGCACCUAUUAAAAUAUUUAUUUUUGUCAUUCCCAAGAUAGCAAGGACAAUUAAUAGACCAAAUUUCCCCUUGAUUCAUCGUCCACCUCUGUCCGUUAUCCAAUAAUGGCUGAGGGCUGUCCGUGUGGAGGGUUUGGGGUAAAGUUGAGCAUGCAGCCCGCGGACCAAAGGCACGGCCUAAAGCACGGUGAUUUGGCCCGGCCCGAGCAUUGCACGGCCUGAUCCUAACUAGGCUCGGGCCGACCCGAAACACGUAGCGGGCUAUGCUUAGGCCGACCCCUCGGCCCGCUGGGCGGCACGACACGGCCCGCUUAUAACAAUAGGCACGGAAAUGGCCCGGUAUCAGGGAAUUUGUGAAACUUGAAGUAUCAGGUUCUGUGACUUAUGAAACUUGUGACUUUUGGUAAGUGAAAUAUGAUCUGAGAGUAUAUUGUGUUAUGUGAAUUGUGAAGUAUUAAUAUAUGUGACUUGAAUGCAAUGUACUUAUGCUUUGUUAAAUUCUGUAUUAAAUUUGGUGUUUUCAUAUAGCAUGGCUCAUGGGCCGACCCGAAGGACUAUUGGGCCUCGUGCUUUUCGGCCCGGUCCGAUCGGCCCAUAGGCCGUGCCUGGGCCGUCAGGCAGGCAAGGUGGCCUGUGGAGGCACGCGGGCCUUACGGGGCCGGGCUGGGCCGGCCCGUUGCUCAUAUUUAGUUUGGGCGGCUCCGAUUAGGCUGAGCCGGCAACACGAUAGCGUCGGGUGCUCGCUAGCCUACAGAGCUACCAGUCGUCGUGCACAACCGCUUCCUCCAUUUCUGUUGCGUUGCCUGACAUGUAGUCGUAAAUGCUUCAAACAAUGUACACGACAAGAGUGGAUGCAACAAUAGUGGUAGCAAUAGGAGCAAAUGCGAGGCAAAGCACUGAUGCGAGGUAAAGUACACAGUGUACUAUGUGGCUCGUUGCGCAGGAGCCAAUGCUCGAUGGGUUGGUGAAGCUCACCAGAAAUGGUGGAAUUUUUCUAGUAUUUUUAAGUAGUAAUAAAAUACUAUCAUUAGUCAUUAGUCAUAGCACAUGAGAAUCCUUAUUAGAAGGCAUUUGGUAGUGAAUAUUUGUACUAAACGUUGAAUGCUAAAACAUUAGGACAACCCUAAAUCCCUAAAAGAAGUGGAGAUUUUUGUUUGUGCUAGUGUGAUAUGAUGAGUCAAUGUGUGUGUGAUGUGUUAGGUAUCGACAUGUCAUACGUUGAGACUCUGUAUACAACUGUUGCAGUAUAUAUAUAUCAGAACAGCUAGCGCCCGGAUGUCCGACGCCCGCAACGCGUCUGGACGCUGAGCCCCCAACCUGCGCCACACGGAGAAAAAAAAGAAAAGUAAACCCCAUCCAUCUGUAAUCAACUCGUCCCUGCCCCACUUGCCCCACACGGAAGACUAUCCUUUGUCCGCUCCAUCCUAACCAACUUGCCUCUGCCCACUCACCCUGCACAGAGGACCGCCCUACGUCUGUUCCCCGCGCAAGGAACCCGCCCCCACCCCCAUGAGCAUGGGAUCCGCCCUGCCCCUCGCCUUGUGAAAGGUCCUAAUAUGGCUAGAGGGGGGAGGUGAAUAGCCUAUUUAAAAAUUCUACAAACUCACUAGAUUAAGAGGUUAGUAAAUAACAAAGUGAAGCUUUUUGCUCUAGCUCUAAUGGGGUGUUUGCAAGCCACCUAUCUAACAAUUCUAGUUGAUAUAAAUACUAGGCACACAAGAGCUAUGUCACCACAAGCUACACUAGUGAACUAUGCUACACAAGGCAAGACUAGCAACUAGACUAGUUACACUACUUUGCGGUAAGUAAAUGGAAAGGAAGAGAUAUUUAUACCGCCUUGUAGGGAAUGAACCAAUCACCAAUAUAUGAACAAUCAAGCACUGUGAGAAUACCAAUCAAACACAAUUGAGACACCGAUUUUUUCUCCCGAGGUUCACGUGCUUGCCGGCACGCUACGUCCCUGUUGUGUCGACCAACACUUGGUGGUUCGGCGGCUAAGAGGUGUAGCAUGAACCUCAUCCUUACUAGGACACCACAAGAACCUACCCACAAGUGAGGUAGCUCAAUGACAUGAGCAAUCCUAUAAUGUUGCCUUUGGCUCUCCGCCGGGGUAGGCACAAAACCCCUCAGAAUCACCGGGACAUGGCCACGAACAAUCACCAACUCGUGCCAAUGCUCCUCCGCUACUCCAAGCCAUCUAGGUGGCGGCAACCACCAAGAGUAACAAGAAAACCGCAGUCAAAUCGAUCCCCAAGUGCCACUAGAUGCAAUCACUCAAGCAAAUGCACUUGAAAUCACUCCCAAUCUCACAAAGAUGUUUGAUCUAUGAAGGAGAUGAGUGGAAGGUGUUUGCUUAGGCUCAAAAGGAUGUCAAGUAUGCUAGAAUGCCAAGAGAGUGAGCCCCAAGCCGACCAACAACUAUUUAUAAGCUCCUCAAACAAAUAGAGUCAUUGGCUCUUUUACUAGGCUGAAAACAGGACCACCAGACUCGCUGCAAGUGAGGCACCAGACUCUAGAACAGAGCAUCCGGUGCUCCAGAAAUAGCCACGUGUUAGCUCUUUGAAUCUCACGUGUCGAACUCUAACGGUCACCUGCAAACCACCGGACGCGGUCAAGUGAGCACCGGACGCGUCCGAUGCGCACCGGUCACGUAUGCAGAGAGGUUUGCAAAAAUGCAGGAGCACUGGACUCACUCCUGAGCGUCUGGUCCCUUACUCAGAGAGCGCUGCAAACGCGCAAGGACACCAGAUUCUCACCACCGGACUCACUCCGAGCGUCCGGUGCUCUCAGUCAAUCUCACUGCUGAAGUCAAGCUACACCGGACGCAUAUACAGGGUCUAGCCCACGUUCGGUGCUUGGCGUCCGGUGCACAACCCUAACAACGCCAGAGAAAGUCAACAUAUUCGCUUGCCGCUAACUCGUUCGGUGCCUGCGGUCAGAGCGUCCGGUGAGUGCUUUUCGGUGAGGAACACUCCGACGACUUUCUCCAAACUUUCCACCGGCGCAAUAGAAAAUAUGCAUUUUAUUUUCUCAAAAGCGUCGCAUCCCAAGAGGAACCCAAACCCCUCUCUACCCUUCAACUUCCACCUCCUUCUUAAGUGUGCUAACACCACCAUGUGUGUACCAACAUGUGCAACUAUGUUAGCAUUUUUACAAACAUUUUCUUCGAAGGAGUUAAAUUAGCUCACUAGGUUCGAAAUGCAUGUACAUGAACAAUGACAACUAGUGGCACUUGAUAACCGCUUAGCCAAAGAAUUCCCCUCUUUAGUACGACUAUCUAUCCUAAACGUGAUGACACAAUCUAUGGUAUCUUGAUCACCAAAACCAAAAACCUAAUUAAGCAAUACUUUUGCUUUGAUCUCCAUAGGGUUUUGUUUUUCUCUUUCUUCUUUUCCAAGUUGAGCACUUGAUCAUCUUGUGGUCAUCACGAUUAUCAACAUGAUCAUCUCUUGCUCCAUCACUUGGCAUGUACCAACCUCACUAAGUCUACACACACUUAGUAUAGAGGUUAGUACUAGGGUUUCAUCAAUUAUCCAAAACCAAACUAGGGCUUUCACCUUGCCGGCCCCUAGCAGAUUCGCUUGCCGCUAACUCGUCCCCACAGCCCGUCCCCAUAUACUUGACGCUGCAACACAAUACGUAUGAUAGUGCAACAACACCAAAUAUAAUGCUGCAACAAUAGGUUGAAGUAGCUGAAACACCAUAAAUAUAGUAUUACAACAAACAAUGAACAACUGCUGCAACAGCAUACAAACAACUACUACAACAUACAAAUUGAAGUAUUAGAUGUAACAGCUGAAAACACCAUGAACAUAGUAUUACAACGAUAACGAACGACUAUUGUAACAACAUGUAUCAACUAAUACAACAACAUAGAUUGAAGCAUUAGAUGGAGCAACCAAAACACCAUAGAUAUAGUAUUACAAUAACACCAAACAACUGUUGCAACAACUAAUACAACAUUGCAAAUUGAAGCAUUAGAUAGAGCAACUGAAACACCAUGGAUAUAGUACUACAACAACACUGAAACAACAUCUCAAAACACAGUACUGCAACAACGGCUAAAACCUACUGCAACGUCUAGAGAGAACCAUUGCAACAAUAACGAGAUUUGAACCUGAGAGCUCACUGAAACCCUAUCCUACUGCAACAUAACCUGAAAAGAUACCACAAACCACCAUUGCAACACGCGUGAGCACUGAACCCCAAGAGUUCACUGGAACCCUAGCCACCACAACAUCCUGUAGAUCUAGACCCAGAGGAAGAGGAGAAGGACGAGGAGGAGCAAAAGCUGGAAGAGGUGGAGGAGGAGUAGAGGAGGCCUCAGAUCCAGAUCCACAAGAGGAGGGAGGGGAAAUGGAGAGAGAGGCCUCAGAUCCAAAUUCCUCCACACCUACUUCGUUAGAGACGCGCUGUCGUCUGCAUCUUGAGAUGCAUGGAGGUCGUGAGAGCGAGGGAGAGAGAGAGAGCAGGGAGGAAGGGAGGCACGCCGCUCACUGGAAGUUGCCGCCAUCGCGCUCCACUCCGGUGGCAUAGAGGGCGCGUGGGUUGCAGCGGGGAGGGAGGGAGGAAAGGAGGGAGGAGCGGCUUGCUGGUGGCGCGGCAUAAAGUGCAGGCGCAUGUGCGAGCGGCAGGAGCGGCAGCAAGAUGAGAGGGAAGAGUGGAGAUGAAAAUGAGGAGUGGAUAAGAAGGCAUGGAGGAGCAGUGAAAUGAGUGGAUAGGAGCGUUCGGACGGAUGGAUGUCUGGUGUAUAUCAUUACUGUAUAUAUAUGGGCUAUAUAGAAAAAAAUUCAGUAGGUGGAGGGUCAAGGUUGUUCCUUGUGAACAGGAACAAUUACUUUUUACUCUUAACUAAAUAAAAUCAAAUUACUUCAUUAUUACUCUAACUAAAUAAAGUUAACAAGCAAAAUAUUUUACACACAUCAGACGACCAGAAUUAAUCAGAGGCUUAGCUGCUUAUAGGUACUCAAGUCAAAAGUACAUGAUAGUACCCAUCAACCAAUACAAAAGAACUCAUAUAAAUAAGAUAGUCCGUGUUGGAGGCAGAUUUGGUGGAGUAGCGUGUAAAUAGACAAAUUAUGCAAGCUGUACAUUGUGCAUCAUGAUAGGAUAGACACUUUAGAAGAACUAACUGAAGAGGAUACACAGAACGAAUGAAAUGCAGAACACAUGCGGCUUAUUAGGGAGCUAUCAUGUAGUACACUUUUUGAACACAUAUUUGACACAAGUAUCAUCCGGGCGGCCUCUAUAUCUCCAGGUUUAAUUAGAUUGUGUUGUCACCCUUUCUCUGGAUCCUAGCCCGGCGCUCGCGUACCAGCAUCUUGGCGAAACGGAUGAGUUCAUCCUCAUUGGUGCCCCUUUUGACGUCGGGCUCGUUCUUGCCUGUCUCGAUGUUCACCUUGCACGCCGGCUUCUUCAGCAGCCCCUUGCCGACGUCGACGAGGCGGUUCAGGUUCUCCAUGGUGGACACGUCGACGGACGACGUUUCUCCGGUGAGCUCGUCGUCCUGGAUCCGGAGGUACUGCCUCUCCGAGUGCAGCGCCUGGAAGAGCACGGAGGCGUGGAUGUCGACGAGGUCGGCGCUGGCCUGGCUGAAGCUGUCGAUGAUCGGCGUGGUGUCCUUGUUGCUGAGCCACCCCAGAAGACCCCACUUGCUGGACUGCACGGCGUCGAACUUCUCCUCCGCCUUGGCGGUGCCGGUGCCCAGCGACAGCACCAUGAACUUGCCGUAGUCCGCUGGCUUGAUCGGGAAGAAGUCCUGGUUGCCCAGCAGGAUCUGCUUGCUCACGUCCGUCAUCGCCAGCAGCGUCUGCAAAAUUUGUCAAGUUUGGUGCACGUUUCGUCAGCUUAUACUAGCCUCGAUUGGUAACAGUUCAUAGAGAAGUCAACUCAACAUUAAACGGUUGGUAAUCCACUUGUUUUUAUUUACUACAUGCCGUUGACAGUACUCUACUGCAAAUUAAAUUAAUUUGUCAAGUUUGGUGCACAUUUUCUUAUCUAGCUAGCUAGUACUAGCUAUAGCUAAGUGUUAAUUUACUCGUCACCUAGUGUUUGUACGUUGCCGUUAGCACGUCAGUUGUGUGUGGUCAAUAAUCACAAUUAAUCAGUCACUCACAGGAUUGUUUGCAGCGACGCCUCCGUCGAUGAGGUUGAAGGCCCGGGGCUUGCCAUCCUUGUCCUUGGUCUCGAACUGGUGUCCUGGGAGGUACGUCGGCGCGGCGGACGUGCUGAUGCACACGUCCGAGAGCAGAGCGUCCUUGGAGACAUCGUUAAUGGCCUGCGUGCGUAAGUCACCGGAGCGUUAUUAGCACGGUGAAAUUAAGGUUCAAACCAUCGUUAUCAAGUGUAGUUAACUUCUGCAAUGGACUUAUGGACGUCGUCGUACAUCGUAUUUGGAGAACACGGUGGGCUGCAUGAGCUUGAUGUCGAAGGUCGGGAUGACGAUGUUCUGGAGCGCCUGGCUGACCUUCGUCUCGCCGAGGAGCUCCCGGACGAGGGAGUGGAGGUACUUGCCGUCGUACUUGGGCCCCGACAACUUCUUGAACAACCCUAGAGGACCGCCGCUGCUGUUUGGUGGGAAGAUCUUGGGGCAGUUCUUGAGGUAGAAGUCGUUGAUGUCCUUGGCGGCAAAGAGCGGCCGGCCCUCCUUGUUCGGCGCCGUGAGCAUGGCGGUCACCAGCCCGCCGGUGCUCGUCCCGGCGAUCACGUCGAAGUAGUCCGCCAGCCUCGCCUCCGGUCGCUCAUCAAACUCCUGCGUACAGACACACACACACACACAGGGGCGCCAAAUUAACAAACCCGUCAGAACUGGUAUUUUGACAUUUUGUGAUCAGCAGAGAAUGAUAACUGGCAUAUGUAUAUGCAUGCAAAAACAAACCUGCAGCUUCUCCUCGAGGAAGCCGAGGAUGGUGCCGGGAAUGAUCCCGCGCACGCCGCCGCCAUCGAUGCUCAGCACGGUGACGAUGUUCCCGUAGGCCGGCGGCGUGGACGACGACAACGGCGUGGACGCGCCGCCGAGGCUGAGCGCCCGCUGCGCCACCACGGCCGGGUUCAGGGUCAGGCCGGAGCCGCCGUUGGUGCCGUGGACCGCUCCAGUAUACACGGGCGCCAUUGUUACCUCGACCUCUCGUCAAAGGCACGUACACGCGCGGACAGCAACUACAAAAGUUUCGAGGGUUUCUUCUCGGAGAUCGAUGCUCUAGCUAGAUCAAUUCAGAUCGUAAUAAGGGCUUGAAGCUUGAUUGGCUUGUUUAAUUUGCUUGUGUCUUGCUGUUGUGUUGCGCUAGCUUUGUGAUUGGGUGUGGCGAGGUCGAUGCACGAGUGUGAGUAUUUAUAGGCCAGCGCGCUGGGAUGAAGAACGGAACAACACGGAGUACGUCGUACCUUAACACUCCUACUGGAUCAUCAAAAAAAAAAAAAAAAAUUGAACGGGUCAGCGCGGAAGCUGCAGCCAAGAGCUGAGCACGCGGGAGCGUGGAACAUUGGAUUCAUGGAUGGAUAUUGUGCGGUGCAGUAUGCAUGAUGAUGUUGGUGGGGAUCAGGUCAAGGUGGCGCACGAGCGGAAACCUAGCUAGUAUAUUCUACGGAUCGAGUACGUGUAUAAUAGCUUGGGAUGGGCCAGAAACCUUGUUUUUUUACUUGGUUGAUUGCUGGCUGCUGCUUGCCGCUUUCGCUUGCGAUCGAGUUGUGAGUGCGAUGAGGCACGCGGGGACGCGCUGGCCGCUGCCGAUUGGCCGCCGGCCGGGCGCCAUGCCCGCCGGCGGCUACGCAUAGUGGUCCGUAGCCGUCGGCGGAUAGAGAUGGACGUCGUCGUAUACAGCAUGUGCAGCGUAGCGGUACGCCGAGCGGCGGCCGACGAGGAAUUGUAUACACAGGGCAGGAAAGCGGCUGGAAGUGUCGUCUUCGCGGCGAAUGGGACGAGAUGGGUAGUGGCCUGGCCUUAGUGCAAGCGUGUUUUCCAACCUUUUGUGAAGACUGAAGACAGGAUCAAAGCGGCUUGACUGUACCGGAGGAAAACUUCGUCGUCUGUGUGUUGGGUUUUUCCCAAUUUGGGGAUAGGGCAUUACAGUUUCGAGUUCUGACCGUUGAUUUUGCACUGGUCAUAGCUAGCUAGCUGCUAAUUUGCGGUCGUCUUUUCUCAGAUACAAUGAGUAGAAGCCAAUUCAAAGAACAAACGAGAACAGGAAUAUUAAUGGGCUAAAACACGAGAGUUAAUUACUACUGAGACAUCUUUGUAUAAUUGUGUAUUUGCGACAGCAAAAUGGUUGGAGCCGCGCGCACCAAAGGAGUCUCCUAAGAUAAGCGCUUCUAGCGCUAUAUGCACCUAGUCGGGGACAUUUUGAGAUGCAGAGAACAGAGAUGGAGCGGCAAAAUAUCAGUUCCGUCGGAAGGUCUCUGAAGACCACCAACGGGAGCCACAACAAACGAGUAUAAUUUAAUUAAAAUGUUCCUCAAAUUUACGUCUUAACCACCAAUAUAAUCAAUGAUGAAAAAAACAAUGACCAUCAAGUAUAUUAUAUAUGAUUCCAAAUUACCUAGUUCUACGUACAAUUUUAAAUUGGAAUUAAACAUAAAUGCUAUGUGUCACUAGUAUAACAAGAAUACAUGCAUAUAUAUAUAUAGUUUAUCGAUCAUGAAAAAAAGGUAUUCCCUUAACAAACAUAUACUAUGACCCUAAGACUAUUAUAAAUUAUAUAAAAACUCUAUUGCAGUAAUUUUUGUAAGUUGUUAAUAUUUUCUAAAAUAGUUUAACAUACCAAUUUGGGUAGUUUAAUUAUAAACACUCUAGUUUUUCAUAGAUAAUACUACCAUACAUAUAGUUUUUGUGAUAGAAAAAAUUCAGCAUCUUGAUUGUCUUAGUGCAAGUUGCAGUGACUACUUAUGUCAUUCUAGUAACUAAGAUAUAAUCUAGGAUUUGGAACAUAUUUUUGAAUAAAGUAUAAGUGGAAACUUGAGAAUAAAUGAUAAAAUAAGCACCAUUUGAAUUUAACACAUGAGUAAAAGAAUACAACAGUUAAGGGCACUCACAAUGCAAGACUCUAUCAUAGAGUCCAAGACAAUUAAUUACAUAUUAUUUAUGGUAUUUUGCUGAUGUGGCAGCAUAUUUAUUGAAGAAAGAGGUGGAAAAAAUAAGACUCCAAGUCUUAUUUAGACUCUAAGUCCACAUUAUUCGAGGUAAUAAAUAACCUUAGACUCUAUGAUAGAGUCUGCAUUGUGAGUGCCCUAAUAAGAUCAAAAUUUGGAAGCCAUAUUAUCGAUUCAUGAUGUCACAAAAGGAAUACAACAAUAGCAGGUAUAAUUCAAGCUAGGUUUCAAGCAAAUACAUUUUUUUGCAACGAUGAAAACACAUACAUACUAAUUGAUAAAUUUAUUAUAAUCUAGUUAUUAUAGAAUAUUUAAAUAUAUAUUGUGUUAGCAAAUGAAUACAAACCAAACUAAUUAUUUGUAUGUACCAUAUUUAUCCACACUGAACUUUUAGUAUUUAUAUAAGUAUAAUAUUCUAGAUGUGGAGGAGCACGGGUUCAUGAGUUAGUUCCAGAAAAAAAGAGAAAAAAGUCUAAAAAGGCAAUCCAAGAAAUUUCUUAAAAAAAUCAAACUAUCACACCAUCUAACUCUGUGUAGAUUGAAAAUGGUAGUCAUAGGAUAUAAUUUGUUUCUAUAUUGUCCACCUCACAACCAUUGUGUAAAUUGAACUAAAAUAACCUUGAAAAUGGAUACAAACUAGUUAGCGGAGUCAUCAUGUAAAGCAAGGAAGUAAUUCACUAAAUGUGUAAAAAUUAUCCCCUUAAGUCUAGAUCCAGCUUAUGCAUCAAGUAAUUAUUAAAGACAACCUAAAAUAAUUAUUAAUUUUGAAUUUAUACCCAUUUUUAAUUUGUUGUUAUAUUGUAAAAGUAUCAUAAAGUAAUCUUUAAACAAGACUAUAGACUACCCACCAGGUGUUGCUUCUGCAGAAUGGUAUGAGGACAUCUUGAGUUAGGUUUUUAUAAUUAACCUAGUUUCCAACACAUCUAUAGUUUAGAAAUAGUGUCGAAGAGUUUAAUCCAUGUAAAACUCUCUCUACUUCCAUAAAACUCUUAUCAUCUCUCUCUUUAUUAAUAUUCACAUCAGUAUAUUUAAUAUCCAUAAAACUCUAAUGAAACUCCGUUAAAACUUACCUUAUAGUGGGUUUGAGGGGUUAAGUUGUUGCGUUGCUCGAGGGCUCAUAUGGAGUUGGGGGAAAAAGUGUCUGAUUCUCUGAAAUAUGGACAAAUAAAGGAUAUUUAGGGUUUUAUUUUCUCCUCUAGGUUUGGGCUACAUGUGUAAAACCUAAUUUAAAACCAAAAAAAUUGCUUCAGUUGGGUUCUCCGGGUUUGGGUAAUUGCAUCUAGAUCAAGGCCUUGUUUAGAUCUAAAAAGUUUUUGGAUUUUGACACUAUAGCAUUUUUAUUUGUAUUUGACAAUUAUUGUCCAACCAUGGAUCAAGGGUCAAAAGAUUCAUCUCGCAAAUUAUAGAUAAACUGUGUAAUUAAUCAUUUUUUAUCUAUAUUUAAUGCUUCAUGCAUGUGCCACAAGAUUUGAUGUGACGGGAAAAUCUUGAAAAGUUUUUGGAUUUUAGGAUGAACUAAACAAGGCCCAAAUUGGAAUCAAGCUCAUGUGUACCUCAGAUAGUUUUCGUUUUCACUGUUUGUUUUUAUUUUCUUUGAGGACUGUAGUAAGAUGCUUCCUGCUGGAUUAAUCCUGGUUGUAUGCUUAGUAUGAUUCGGAUUAGAUGGGCUCCUGAAAAAAAAAAGGUAUUGUCGUUCUUGGGAGUCAACCCUUGUUUUCUGUAGUUUGGCUGUCGCAUGUGGCUGUUGUCUGCUCGGUUAAAAAAAACAGAGAUAAGUGUAGAUUAGCAGCCCUGGCUCGCCGCCGGCUAGGGUACAGUGUGUCCGUUCGCCGCCUCUUGUUUAUGCAAAGUGCUUGUGUCCUUUGGCUCUAGUUUAUCUACGCGCAGCCCCAGUUAGCUGAAGGUCCACGGUCCAUCACAUUUUUGCGAUGCCGAACAUUCUAGUACAUAUUUAUUUUUUGAUUCAAACAUUCUACAUUUCGCCAACUCGUUGAUUGGUAUCCAUAUAAAUCUUUUUCGUCACAAGAUUGCCAAGUGAUCAGCAUGGAUUAUGCUGAGCGAACCUUGUUAAUUAUCAAAGUAUAUCAAUUAAUCGAGUGUGCCAUCGAUCUAUCGUCAGUAAGGAAUUAAAUUUAUAGACAACAAGGACGCCGCAGUUUUAAUAGACAUCAGUAGUUGGUUCUGGCAUCAGUCGUUGGGAUCGAUCUAUCGUCAGUAGUUGGUUCUGACAGACAGAUAAGGAUCUAGCGUUCCUUUCUUAACAAAAGGACAGAAGUGCCGAAUAAGAAGAAGGUAUGCAACUAUGCAUGCAUCAUCUCGUAGAAUCUACUAGCAGCUCGCAAAGUACUACGUACUCAUUUGUAGUACCAGCUAGAUUCGUGUCAACCAACGCCUUGUUUAUUUUACCCCCAAAAAAUCCAAAACUUUUCAAGAUUCUCCGUCACAUCGAAUCUUGUGGAACAUGCAUGAAGCAUUAAAUAUAAAUGAAAAUAAAAACUAAUUACACAGUUUGUCUGUAAAUCGUGAGACGAAUCUUUUAAGCCUAGUUGCUCCAUGAUUGGACAAUAUUUGUCAAAUAAAAACGAAAGUGCUACAGUGUCGUUUUCCAAAACAUUUUUGGAACUAAACAAGGUCCAAAUUUUCUUAGUUGUAAAAAAUUUACAAAAUGGACACUGUAGCACUUUCGCUUGUAUUUGGCAAAUAUUAUCCAAUCAUAGACUAAUUAAGCUCAAAAAUUUUAUCUCGUAAAUUACAUGUAAAUUGUAUAAUUAGUUAUUUUUUAUCUAUAUUUAAUGUUUCAUGUAUGUGCCGCAAUAUUCAAUGUGACGGAAAAUCUUGAAAAAUUUUGCAAAUUUUUUUAGAAACUAAACAAGGCCUUAGCUUUGAUCAAAUUUAUAAAAAAAUUAUCGACAUUUAUAUCUAGAAAUAAACAUAUUCAAUGAUUCAUCUAAUGAUGUUAAUUAUGUAUCAUAAAUAUAAUAUUAAUAUUGUUAACAUAUAUUUGGUCAAGUUCAAAUUGCUUAAUUUUCUCGGAAAACAAGAAUGACAUUAUUUGUGGAGAGAAUCAUGUAUUUAACACUGAAACAAAAUCAGUCUUUCAUAUUUAGCACUAGAAAAUUUAAACUCUCUUCUCAAACACCAAGCUGAAAUUUUCUUUCAGAAAUAUGGCACUACCGUCCAUUUGGGGGCAUCUAAGAUGAAAACGGAACGGAAAUAUUCCGAACCGAACCGAACCGCUUUCUAUAUUAGAUCCGAUCGAAUUCGUAUUUUCUUGUCCGACUUUACCGUUUUCGUUUUCGUAUUUUAGAUGUUUCGUAUUUCAAAUGUAAAAGUAGAAAACGGUUUAGACAUUUUUCGACCGUUUUCUACUUUUCUACUUUUAAUUUGAAAUAUUUCGAAUUCAAAAUUUGGUUUAAACCGAAUUUAGUCAACUGCACGGUCACACAGCCCAAUUACAGAGUACUCACCAUGCAUCUUUGUUCUUUCUACUAGUGGCUAGCUAUGUUCCUGCUAGUUAUUAAUUACUUGUUCUUAUUUAUGUGUGUGCUAUUGUAUUAAAUACCUAAGACCAAGAAUCAUGCACUUUUUAAUUAUUAUAUGCACUUAAACUUGAUCGUGUAUAUACUUAGUUAUGCACUUAGUACUACACAUCGGUAUUUCGUAUUGAGUUUUCGUAUAUCGACCGUGUUCGACAUAAAUCCGCUCGAAUUGGUUCGUUUUCGAAAUUCUUGAUAUUUCGUAAGUUCGCGUUCGUUUUCGUGUCCGACUUUACCGUUUUCGUUUUCGUAUUUCAAAUGUAAAAAUAGAAAAUAAUUUAGGAGUUUUUCGACCGGUUCCGACCGUUUUCAUCCUCUACGUUGACCAUGUCGGAUUUCUUUUAAAAGUACCAAAAUACCCCUCUAGCUCGCGGCUCGUCUCCUGGAGUCGCGAAGGCCUCUCGGGCCUAGUAGUCAAGCAGGCCGCGACGGCCUUACGCGCCGCCGCCGGACUCGGCAGAUCGAGGCGCGGGGGACGCGGUGGGAGUUCCUCGCCAGCCGACGCUAGUGCCAGGCCGCGGCGGGGCGAGCUCGUCGCAAACAGGCCGCGGGGCGGCGUCGCCUGCCGGCGCCCGAAACACGGCCGCACGGCUCCUCGGCGGAGAAGGGAGCGCGCGAUCCAGAAGUUCCUGCAAAGUCGUCACUUGCAAGAUCGGCGCCAAGCCUGCAUGCCCCACGACCGUUCAUGCGCAGCGCAGCGUGCGUCUCGACGGCGCGAGGAGGAGGAAGUCGUCGAGCAGCUGCUCUGUCCAGAGAUGACGCGAUGGCGCUGGAGGUAGACGCGACGCCGGUCAUGUGGCUCCGGGCAUGGGACGAGCGGCGUGGGACAAGCGGCGGCUGUGCUGCGCAAAACACGGCCUCUCCGGCACCGGUGUGGAGCAGGAUAGUGAGAUGGCGCGACACGACUCACGCGUGCUCGCGGCCGCGCGGCCCAGUGCAGUGGCGGAGCGAUUUAAAACUUGGGUAUUUUUAUCAUAUAAAAAAAUUAAAUUUUUAGGUUUAAAAUAUAGCCAGUAAUAACACUAUAAAUCAACAACUAUUAAUUAAUAUUUGCUUUCUAGAUUAAAGACUUCUAACUAAACGACUAGUAUUUUUUUACCUAUUUUGAGUUAAAUAUGCUAAAAUACUAUAAAUGAUAGCAGGCCCCGUGCUGAAUCGCUCGGCGUCCAACACCGGCCGAGUCAUGCACGGUGUGCUCUGCUCUUGAGCCAUGAUGUUAUGAUGACGCCAUAUAAUCUCUUUAUAUUAUAUCUAUUAGAAAACUAAAAAACUAAAUAUUUUGGAAAUACAAGUUACAUAUUUUCUCUGUCCGUGAAAGUUUCAACUCUUAGAAUCCAUACUAAUUACUUUUUUUAAGUUUGAUCAACUUUAUAUAAAAGAGCAUAAAUAUCUAUGACAUAGAAUGAUUAUUUUAUAAAAAUAUAUUUUAUGAUAAAUCUAAUGAUAUUAGUUUGGUACUAUAAAUUUUAGUGUUUUUUUUUAAAUUCAGUCAAAAAAUUUAACUUAGAAUAAGUCUAAAAGUUGAAUCUUUCGGAAUGAGAGAGUCCUUAAACCAGCAGCCAUCCUGAGCCGUGCAUCCUUGAUUUGUGGCCGAGGUGAAAGGAAGAGGGAGGGGCAUAAUGUGUAGAAUUUGAAAUUUAUUGGUUAUUUAUUUGCAGUUUUCAAUUAUAAAAAAACCAUAUUUAAGUUCACAAGUAUAUUUGGGAUAUUUAUGAUUUUCUUAUUUAACAACCUGUCCAUUUAUUUUUUUCUAUAUUUGGCACCAUGGACUUCUACUACAAAUAAACAAGGACAUUUAAGUUAUUUUGCCAGACACUUGACAUAUACUAACCUAAAUGGACAGCAGUGCCUCAACUCGGUGGCAGAUAAGGAAGUUCAAAAUUUCUAGUGCCAAUUAAAUAUGAAUGACCGAUUUAUUUCAAUGCCAAAUACGUAAUUCUCUCUUAUUUUUGGGAAGGAGAGAGUAUUCUCAAGUAGUCGAGUGGAAGCUUCUCGGUGACUUGGCAAUUUCCACAACACCGCUUCAAAAUUAAAUAAGAAUGGAUGGUACGUCAGUAGAUGUAGCUGUGAUUUGCUCCAUAGAUCAACUGUGCUAAGCUUUGCGUAAUCCAUAUAUAAUCAAUAGCGUGAAGGUGUUUACUAGUAUAAAUCAAUGGUGCAUGACGCCAUCUUUUUGAGAGUAUGAUAGCCACACUUAGUUUCUUUAUAUUAAAAAAACGGUACAAUAAAUUGAUAAACGGGAUUCUGUGGACUAUAUUUAGUCUUUAGAUAUAUAAAUAUAGAUCAACUACAAGUAGUAGUAAUUAGUUAUACUCAGUCAUAUGGCUUCAUCGGAUAUGCAUCACUGCCAUUGGACACGGUGGCGGACCCAGGCCUAGGGCCAGUUAGUCCUAGCCGUGGCCUAAAUUAUUUAGGAACAAAUUUUUAAUUUUGGCCUAACACAACGCAUAGCCCAGUGGAGAGAAGAGCAGGACAAGCUAAGUCUCUCGGUCCCUCGCGCCGCAACUCACCUGCACAACUCACUAUCGUGGCUUUCCCCUCACACCGUCAUUCGCGCCACCGCCUGCUCCGCCUCCCGCUUGCUCUCGCACUCGCCGGCGCCGACAUGGCGGCACCCAGCCUGCUCUAUAAACAAACUUAACACAAUAUGGUCAGGCAGCGUAUGAUAUGUAGGCCUUGUUUAGUUCACUCUGAAAACUAAAAAAUUUUCAAGAUUUCCCGUCACAUCAAAUCUUAUGGCACUUGUAUGAAACAUUAAAUGUAGACGAAAACAAAAACUAAUUACACAGUUUAGCUGUAAAUCACAAAACGAAUCUUUUGAUCCUAGUUAGUCUAUGAUUGGAUAAUAUUUAUCACAAACAAACGAAAGUGCUACAGUACCGAAAAGUUUUCACUUUUCGGAACUAAACAAGGCCGUAAACUGGCUACCUAUACAAAUUAUGCAAACUGUAAUCAGGACUAUAAGACUCUAAUCCAAUGGUUAGAGAGAAAUUACGGUAGGUUAAUUUAACACUUAAACCCCCCACUCAUCCCUGUCCCAGGUCGCGGUCGUACGUCGGUACUUCCUCGCGGUGCCGUUUGGUUCCCGUCCAUCAUUUCGUUCCUGCGCGAGGCUAGCGCCGUGACCCGUGAUCCAGCGCCGCUGACAAGGUGCUAGAGGGCUCCGACGACCAGUCAGACCAGUCGUUCCUCGACGAGACGCAAGUCGGUGCUAGGUAUGCGCUCACCUGCGUCGCGUACCCGACGUCUGACUGCGUCAUCCAGACAGGCGCACAUGGAGGCAGACCUGUAGUAGACUACUAGGUAGUCCGGUUAGCUCCAUUCUAUGAUUCGCAAUUUCGCAUGCACUUGUGCUCUUGUCCUUGCAGCUAGCUAGAACUAGUAGAUUGUUAAUCAAACUACUUAACAUAAUAAGCCGUCGCCGUCGCUCGCAGUGUGGAUCCUGUCCCGCAUGAUGACCAGCGGAGCGUGAGCAGGAACCCAACGGGCCCGUGGACACCGUGAUGUGCCUGACGUACCUCCUGCGUCAUGGCAGCAAGCUCCAAUUCAGGGACAUGUCGUUGGCGUGCUGCCUCAUAGGCCACAUCGGAACCAACAGUGCAGAUAUUACCAUGGCAAAUAGGUUGUUUGGCAAGCUGACAGUAAUUUGUUAUGAGAGAAAAAUAUUAUUUUAUAUCUAAUUAAUUUGGCCGAUAAGCUUAUGCUCAAAUGAACAAAGUCGUCUCAGCUCAGGUGAACAAGUCUGCCCCAUAAGUCUGGCAAGUGGCAAGGCAACAGCCGGAGAAUCAUUGAUUUAUGAGAAAGUGAGAACAGGGCUGCCUAAAGAAGCAGCCCCCUCCGACAUCAAAAGGAUAGAAGUAGCAUGCACAGGACGAAGAAUCAUUGAUUUACGAGACCAGCUAUUGCAGCCUGCGUUGAGAAGCUAAUUGCCUUGAAUCAUCUCAAGUCUACAUGCAUGGAAUAGGACUUUUAGGUGAGGCUAAAUAUUCCACUGCCCACAUUAGGCUUGCCCUCAGGAACUCCUUCGCUAGCUGCGUGAAUGGCGGUUAGGUUAGUCUCAAUGCAUAUUUCAUGAGAGUGUCAUGCACAUUAAAUAGGGUGUCAUAUAAGCAAAAUUGCUAACUUGACAGAGUUAUUAAAUGAAGAAGUUUCAUCAGAUGAGAGAGGAGUUUCAUCCCCAUGAAACUCAUGUGGCUCGGUUACCUAAUUAGUAGUCUUGGUAACUGUGUCAUGAAACUAUGUAUUGAGACUGACCUUACGAUCGAACUGAUCGAGCUCUCGGUGACAAGCCAAGCGUGAAGCGUGUGUACGUGGGGUGCGUCAAUGGUCAUCGUCUUUCACGCGCCUACGCCGCACGGGACCUGUCCGAGCAGGAAGAGCUGGUGCUCCGAUGUGCGCUCACCCUCCAGCCGUCGAGGUCGAGCACGGCCUCGCCGCAGCACGACUGCCUCAGCCCUCAACAUGCUCCUGAUGAGAGCGCACGUCCAUCCACCCUUUCGGCGCGGACCAUCAGGUCCACCGUGCAGCCAUUGGGCGCGACAUUCGACCAGUUCCUCGACGAAGGUGGCGGCAACGUCACCUUCUCCGCCGACCGCCCCAACAUCCGCGACGCCGACAAUCACGCACUGGGACUCAGCGUGUGUUUGACUAGGGCAAGCAGCUGCUCCAAAAGGUCAUGCUCUCGCCGACUUCAUCGGCGUCACAUGUUGCGUGCAGUUCCAGUUCGACGCCAAUGGGAAUGGCGCUGGAAGGCGGUGGCCGGCGACGGCGUGCCACAGUGGAAGAGGAGGGUGGAAGGCUGGAAGAGCAGCAGUGGCAGCAACAGCGGUGGAGGUGUGUAGCCAUGGCGAUUUACAGCGAACGCCCUGAUCUAGUCCCUUUGCACGUGAAGAAUAAUCCUGUGAAAGCAAAAUAAAUAUUAGGAAUUUUCUACAAUUAUAAACAUAAAACAAAGGGGUAUGGACUCUUUAUACACCCCUGAUUAAGAUUUUGGACAAAAAAUACACUCUCAAACCUGAUGGACCAAAUCGACAUACCCUCAGAAGCUAAUGGACUAUCCAUGAAUUUUACUCUUAUUUAUAAGCCAAUGCACAAUACUACAGUUAGCUACUUAGAGCAUCUCCAACAAUAUUUCUUAAACCUAGUUUCUAAAUUGUCAUGAGAGAGUUAGUUAAUAGAGGAUGAAAAUAUUUAGAGAUCAAGUUGGAAAAAAAGGUCACGGUUUUUCUAUUGUUGGUGGUGAUGUUUUUUUUUUCUUGUAGGUAGUUUCCAGGGCUGCUUGCUUGUAUUUUCUGCUAUAUAAAUAGAAGCAAGCAUUAUGAGUGCCGGUUCAUUGAAAAUGAUGUUGAAAACUAUUAAAGAGAUUUUAUACUACCAAAAUCUCUAUUCCUAUCAAUACUUAAGGAUAAUUUAGAGUUACUAUUUGCCGAGAUUUCUUCUAGGUAAAGAGUACAGCUAUGAAAAAACUUAUCAAUUUUAGUUUCCAAUGCAACAAACCUCACAUUAUUUAGACUUUCCAAUAAUGAGUUAUGUUUAGACUGGUGGACACUGCUUAGAAGGCUACCAGACACCAUGUGGGACCUCCUCAGGAAUUCAUCAUGGAGACUUUUCACUGUACCUAUAGCCUAUCUUCAAAAACUUCAAUUUCUUUUCAUACCAAGUAGAAGAGUUUUGCCUAGUAUAAAUACCAUUUCUAUCUAAGCAGUUAAUUUUUUUUGAUGAAUUGAUAAACCUGUAUGGUUUUUCAGCCAAAAGCCAAUGAGUGACUUACACCAAACCUCUUGCGAGUUCUCUGUUGGUUUGUGAGAGACUAUUUCACUGAUAUAUGCAAAUGUUUUUCUAGCACUCCCUAGUUCAUGCUCUAGGCUCGUGGGCCUUCCACGUGGAUUAGUUCCGCAUCAAGGUAUCGCAUGGAUUAUUUCAAUCAGUCAUAUUAAUCAUUCACAGUAAGUUAUUAUCUUCGGUUUUUCAACCUACUAUCACAAAGAUGAGGCCACCCCUAAGGAGACUCCUUACAUCAUGAAACAUAUCAUGGAUACUUUAGAACAGCUGGUAUAUAUGAAAAUAAAAAGGAAAAUGAUUAUGAUAAAAUAAAUAAAAUUGAAGUAAAAAUUAAAAAAAAAAACUACAAAGAAAACAAAGAAAUCACGUUAUAUAGGAAAUUACAAAAAAAAAAAAAAACUGGAGUUCGCGUAAUGGGCCUAGCCUAAACAUACACCACGAAUGAGCCUUCUUAGCUAGUACAUGCUAGUUGGAGGAGGCAAAAGACAGAGUAACGUUUACAGCAUAGCAGAUGGGUGUCAGGUUCCAAUGUGGAAUCCUGACUGUAUUCGAACAGAGUUGGAGUUUAGACAGGGAAGAGCAAGACCAGAGGUAUGAGAUGAGAUGGAAUUCAGUUACAGAAUGGUUCUCAGGUUCGAUGCCUUCCCGGUGACUCCACCCUGCGCUUAUAACCCCGCGCCUACAACCGACAUUACAAGGCCAACGGCCCAACCCAACAGCCGAAGCCGACUCUCAAGCCCACAUCCACACAUACACGGUCAGACGCGGUCAGCCACCAAUAGAUGUGGCCCGGGUAGCCUUCUGGUUGCUGACAUUCCUUCCCCCUUGAAACGCAGCUUGACCCCAAGCUGCACAUGCUGGGAACCUGCGACGAAGAUCAUGAAGCUCCUCCCAGGUCGCCAGCGAAGACGGUAGAGAUGUCCAGUGAACCUUGACCUGAGUAAUUGAAGAAGCACCCUUCUGAAUCAUCCUGGAGGAGAGCAACUGAAUGGGGAACACUGCUUCCUCUGGGUCCGCCGGCAACGCACUCAAAUCCGAUUCCACCACCGUCGUUGGUGGAACAAACCGCUUGAGCUGAGACACAUGAACCACUGGAUGAAUACGACAUUCAUCAGGUAGAUUCAGUUUAUAUGCCACUGCACCAACCCUGGCUACAAUCUGGAAGGGUCCAAAGAAUCUGAAACUAAGCUUCUGAUUCGAUCUUGGAGCAACGGACGACUGAAUGUAUGGCUGUAAGCGCAGAUACACCAUGUCACCGACUGCGAACUCCCGCUCACUCCUGUGCUUGUCAGCCUGAUGUUUCAUUCGUUGCUGGGCACGAUGAAGAUGAUGUUGUAACAGAUCAUUCAACAGAUUCCGUUCUGUCAACCACUGCUCUAGGUCCUCUGAAUGAAGCUGCUGGUCACUGGAGAUACCAAAAUGCUUAGGUGAAUGGCCAUACAAGGCCUCAAAGGGAGAUCUGCCCAGAGCUGAAUGAUAACUUGUGUUAUACCAGAAUUCUGCCAAAGACAACCAUUUACUCCAUUGCCUCGGACAAGCAUGCACACUACACCGCAGAAAUGUCUCAACACACUGAUUGACACACUCAGUUUGACCAUCUGUUUGCGGAUGAUAAGAGGAACUCAUCAACAACUGGGUGUCAGUCAUCCUAAAAAGCUCUUUCCAAAACUGGCUUGUGAAGAUCUUGUCCCUAUCCGAAAUGAUAGCAGUGGGUAGGCCAUGCAAUUUAUAAAUGUGGUCAACAUAAACCUCAGCCACCUUGGAAGCAGUAAAUGGAUGGGACAAGGGUACAAAAUGUGCAUACUUUGUGAACUUAUCAACAACCACCAAAAUCACAUCAUACCUCUGAGACUUAGGCAACCCUUCAAUGAAGUCCAUGGUAAUGAUUUGCCAGGCUUGCGUGGGAAUAGGCAAAGGCUGUAACUUACCAGGCAAGCUGACAUGCUCCACUUUGGCCUGCUGACAAACAGAACAGCCCUUGAUGAAUUUCAUGAUGUCUUCCUUCAUCUUGGGCCAAGAAAACAGCUGCCGAAGCCUGUAAUAAGUAGCAUGAAAUCCCGAGUGACCACCCACUCCACUAUCAUGAAAAGCCUGAAUCACAUGAUUAUGUGCCAAGCUAUUGGAGCCCAACCAAACUCUGCCUUUGAACCUAAUCAGCCCAUCCUUUAUCGAAUAAGCAGGUGGCAACUGUCCAGCCUCAUUCCAUAAUUUGAAUAAUCUCUGAGCUUCAGCAUCUUCAGUGUAACCUUGUUUAACUCUAUCAAUCCAUUCCGGAUGACAAGAGGACACUGCUAAAAUGGCAUGCGGGGAAGGACAGCGAGACAGAGCAUCUGCAGCCAGAUUAGUACUGCCUGACCUAUACACAAUCUGGAACUGCAAGUCCAUUAGUUUGAAUAGAGCCUUUUCCUGCAGCUUAGUGGUAAUCCUUUGAUCAGAAAGGUGCAGUAAGCUUCUAUGGUCAGUUUUGAUCACAAACAGCUUGUGUUGUAGAUAGGGCCUCCACUUCUCAACAGCCAUGAUGAUAGCCAUACACUCCUUUUCAUAAGUGGACAAGGACCUAUUCUUGGCACACACCGCCUUGCUUAAAUAAGCUACAGGAUGCCCUUCCUGCAUCAGGACUGCGCCAAAACCCACAUCACUUGCAUCGGUCUCCAACACAAACUGUUUGGAAAAGUCUGGUAUAGCAAGAACAGGAGCUUGCACCAAUGCUGACUUGAGUUGCUGAAAGGCUAUCUCAGCCUGCUCUGUCCAGACAAAAGGAACAUUCUUUUUCAACAAGUCAGAUAGGGGUCUGCUGAUGAUGCCAUAAUGCCUAAUGAAUUUCCUGUAAUAUCCAGUUAGCCCCAAGAAUCCUCUCAAUUCCUUAAGAUUGUCUGGUAUUGGCCAUUGUUCUACUGCCUUUACCUUUGUUGCUUCAGUGGCCACCCCAUCUGCAGAUAUGAUAUGACCCAAGUACUCCACCUCCUGCUGUGCAAAAGCACACUUUGACAGCUUGAUAUAAAACCUCUGAUCUCUCAAAAUCUGAAACACCUGCUGCAACAAGUUGAGGUGUUCAGAUAGAGUCUUGGUAUAGAUGAGUAUAUCAUCCAUAAAAACCAGCAAACCCUUUCUCAGUAAGGCAGCAAAAAUGAUAUUCAUAAUACUCUGGAACGUUGCUGGAGCAUUGGUGAGCCCAAACGGCAUAACCAAGAACUCAAACAACCCAUGAUGAGUCUUAAAUGCUGUUUUAUGAGUAUCUGCUGGCUCAAUGCAAAUCUGGUGAUACCCUGCUCUAAAGUCCAACUUGGUAAACCACUUAGCUCCAGCCAAUUCAUCAAUCAACUCCUCCACCACUGGCAUGGGAUGUUUGUUUUUCACUGUUUGAGCAUUAAGAUGUCUGUAAUCAACACAGAACCUCCAUGAGCCAUCCUUCUUCCUUACCAACAACACAGGAGAAGCAUAAGGACUAGUGCUGUGCUGAAUGAUUCCACUACUUAACAUUUCCUUUAAUUGUUUCUCAAUCUCAUCCUUUUGAACUGGAGGGUAUCUGUAAGGCCUAAUGUUAACAGGUUGAGCCCCCGGCAUGAGUUGUAUUUUGUGAUCAAAAGGCCUGGAUGGUGGAAGUGCAGUAGGCGUCUGGAAAAUGUCAGAAAAUUCUGUUAUCAGCUGUUGCACUUCCGGUGGAAUCUGACUCUCUUGCACCGCUGCUAUGACUUCACUGUUACCCACUGCAGUCACACUGUCUUGAUAAGAAAGCUGAACCAAGUGAGUACAGGCUUGCCUAUUCAGUAAGCCUUGCAACUUAUUGCUCUUUAUUGGAGGGCACUGAACCACAUCAGACAAUAAACCCUGCAAUGUUAUCCUCUUCCCUUGAUAAGUGAAUCUCAUCAACUUCUUGGACCAAUGCACCCACAUUGGACUACAUGACUCCAGCCAAUCCUGUCCCAGAAUCAUAUCAAAACAUUUUAGAGGUAGAAUUCCCACUGAAGACUGAAAAGUAUGACCCUGAGCCUGCCACUGUAGUUUGUCAAUCCUCUCCUGACAGAGCAUAGGACUCCCAUCUGCAGCAACAUACUUGGUCACAGGGCAAGAUGUUCUGGCAUCCCCAACUUUAGAAGCAAGUUGAUCACUGAUAAAAGUUCCAAUGCUACCAGAAUCAAUCAGUAUGAGCACAUCAUUUUUACCAAUUCUUCCACAGAUUUUCAUUGUUCUCCUCUUGACAGGGUUAGUUUCCAACUCCUGUCCAACUGCCAGAACCACCUCUUCAACCUCCUCCACAUCCUGCGACCCUUGCUCGUCCACCUCAAAUUCCAGAGCAUCCAGCAACUCUUCAAUGACAUGCAAGGAUACUUGAGUAGGACAUUUGUGACCCGGGCCCCACUUUUCACCACAUUUGAAACACAGCCCGUUCUUCCUUCGAUAAUCCUUCAGAGUUGCCAACUUGUCGUCCCCUUUCUGUCUCAGGGUUUCUGACUCUGUUGAUCUCGGUCUUUCUCCCAAACUCCUAACCCCACCUUUGUGAAAAUCCUUUCCUGAGUUCCGACCUCGGCUUUUACUCAACUCCUCUUCCUGGAGCAAUGCCAAAGCACUAGCAGUAUCCACAUCCUUUGGACGAUGCAGAGAGAUCACCGAACGAAUGUCCUCCUUCAACCCUGCCACAAACCGAGUCACAAAGUACGUUUCAUCAUACCCAUUGUUGUACAGCAGGAUUCCAUGCGCCAACUUCUCGAAUUCAGCCUGAUAAUCCUCCACUGACCCAUUCUGUUUCAGAGCUUCCAACUUCUUGAGCAGCAACUGAUACUGGUUUCUGUCAAAGCGACUCAUCACCAGAUCACACAACUUGUCCCACUCCAGAAUACGGCCUGAUCGUUGCACAGUCUGCAACCAAGUUUUUGCCACCCCUUGGAAGUUCAGAGCCGCCAUCCUCGUCUUCAGCGACGGAUGUACCGCAUACACCUCAAAGAACAUUUCACAUUCAUCCCGCCAUGCACGAGGAAAUUCGCCGUCAAAUUUCGGAAACUCCAAUUUGGGAAAAGGAGGGGAACGAAAACCAGAAUGAACAACAUCGUCCAUAGGUGAAAUCAUCGGACUAGCAUGUUGCUUACCCUUAUUGUCGUACUGCGGCCGGUGUCCGAGGACUCCGCCGCAGUCAUCGCCGUGGCCCUUGGCCCGCUCCCCGUCCCUCGAAGAUGAGCCCGAGGACGUCCUGGGAGCCGUGUUGAGGUCGAGGGUCCCCAACACCGGAUUCGGAUGAAUCGGAGGUGGAUCCGCAGGUGCCGCAACUCUUGCCUCCAACGCCUCCACUCGAGUCGCCGCGAGCUCCACCCGCUUGGUCACCUCUUCCAGCGCCGUCGACGAACUCUGCGCCUUCUCACGCAAAUCGUCGAACGCUUGAUCCGCGGUCGACUGCCAAGUCCCGAUGGCCUCCAACGAAUCCAUCGUGCUCUUCAACAUCUGCUGAAAGCCCGCAAACUGCUUCAGCAUCUCACCCAACUGCCCCGACACCCCCUCCACCGACUGCGCCAUGUCCUUCUGGAACUUCGAGGGUCCUCUCUUCGGCGCCAGCCUGACCCCCGCAGCCUCGACGUUCACCGACCCGUUCAACCUCGGCUCGGACUUAAAGCGUUGGCAACUCAAUCCGCCGAAGCGAAGAGCCGCCCUGCCAGCCGACGGGGAUUACGAACGCGAUUCCGAUGACACGAUCUUCGGCUCUGAUACCAAUUGUCAGGUUCCAAUGUGGAAUCCUGACUGUAUUCGAACAGAGUUGGAGUUUAGACAGGGAAGAGCAAGACCAGAGGUAUGAGAUGAGAUGGAAUUCAGUUACAGAAUGGUUCUCAGGUUCGAUGCCUUCCCGGUGACUCCACCCUGCGCUUAUAACCCCGCGCCUACAACCGACAUUACAAGGCCAACGGCCCAACCCAACAGCCGAAGCCGACUCUCAAGCCCACAUCCACACAUACACGGUCAGACGCGGUCAGCCACCAAUAGAUGUGGCCCGGGUAGCCUUCUGGUUGCUGACAAUGGGUAUACCAUCUGAACCGUGGGCCUGUUUGGUUUGAAGCGGUAAAGUUUACCGAGCGAAGAGAUCAUCAGACUGAACAACUUUAACAUUAACAUAGAGUAACUAUCAUCAGACUAUCCACCGAGCGAAGCAGCAGCACCCAGGGACUCACUCCAUCAGACGUCCUGCAGAUGCAAACCGAAGCCAGCUGCUUCUCCCCAGCUGUUCCACAUGUUUCCGAAGACGACGGCUUCUAGCUCUGAAGCCGCCACAUCACUUGAGCAGCAGCCUCCAUGCGCCAUGCAACUUUCGUAUGUAGCAACGACUCCCUCUUCUCCUCCUCCGGGCACAAGAUCCCCCACCUCUACUGUACUAGGAGAGUCACCGUACCAAGCUUGAUGUUGGACAUGGAAUUCUACUUCGGGUUCGGAACUAGUAAGCUCGUCCUGGAGCCGGCGGCGUCGCUCGUCAGAAAGCUGCUUGGCGAACUUGGCGAGCUGCUCGGCGUUGGUCCCUGCACCGGGCACCUCCACGAUCCGGCCAGUCUCCAGGUCCACCCGGGAGACGUUCAUGUCCAGGAGCUUGUUCCCGAUUCUCACCAGCCUAUCCAUGUUCUCCUUGGAGGUGUCGUCUAUGGAGCCCGCGCUGCCCGUCAGCUGAUCAUACUGGAUGCGCAGGUAGUUCUGGCUGGAGCGCAGGGCCCUGAAGAGGACGCAGAGGUUGAUGUCGACCAUGUCGGCGCUGGCGGAGUUGAACAUGUCGAUGAUGGGAGCGUUGCCGUCCUUGAAGAGCCAGCUGAAGACGCCCCACUUGGCGGCGGCCUUGGCGCAGUACCUGCGGUUCCGGUUCGACCCGCAGCCGAGGGAGAUCACCAUGAACUUGCCGUAGUCCGCCGGCAUCACCGGGAACAAGUCGUCGUCGCCGAGGAUGAUGUCCUGAGACACCUGGUUCAUCGCGCACAGAGUCUGCAGCACGCAGAGCUGAAUGUGUGAGGCUGUAAGCUGUAUGAACUAGCCUAUAGGGUGCAUGCUGCGUGGCGCUAGCUACCUAGCUGCCUAGCUUACAGGGUUAUUCGCAGCGAUCCCACCAUCGACGAGGUUGAAGCCCCUCCUCCUGCCAUUCUCGUCCUUGGUCUCGAAGUAGUGCGGCGGGAAGAAGGUGGGCGCUGCCGAGGUGCUCAUCGAUAUGUCUGACAGAAGCGCAUUUUUCCACGGCCGGUGCUUCAACUGAUCAUCACAGGAAACAACGAGGCAGCUAAGAAAAACACGAUACAUUCUCCAAUUAGGCCUUGUUUAGAUCAAAAACCUUUUGGAUUUUGACACUGUAGCACUUUCGUUUUUAUUUGACAAAUAUUGGACUGGAUUUUGACACUGUAGCACUUUCGUUUUUAUUUGACAAAUAUUGUCCAAUCAUGGAGUAACUAGGCUUAAAAGAUUCAUAUCGUGAUUUACAGCUAAACUGUGCAAUUAGUUAUCUUUUUUAUCUAUAUCUAAUGUUCCAUGCAAGUACCGUAAGAUUCGAUGUGAUGGAAAAUCUUGUAAAGUUUUGGGUUUUUGGGUGCAUAGCAUCUUCAACGGUUUACCAUUCUAGUUUGGCAUUUGUGUUAUUUGGCAAAAAAGGUAAAAAUCACUCCUCCAACGGUUUUGCAAACGGGUUUGCCAUUUUAGUAAACUUGGCAUUUGAGAGGCUCCCCUUGGCAUAUUUGGGAGUUGGCUUUUGGAUUGGCAAACGCUUGCGGCCGGUUUUCCUGCAUCAAUUCCGUGCGUGGCCUGGUCUCUUUGGCGUCGUUUCCUUCGUCGGUGGGAGUCCUCGCGCCAAAUAGAGUCUGCGCCGCCAUUGGUUGCCGCGACUCAAAGACACAGAUCAAGUCUGCUACGUCGUCCCUCCCUGAACGCGACUGCGAACAUGGGCAGCAGCUGUGGAUGAGGUCCAGGUAGCGGCUACUUCCACCAGGAACGGUAUGCAUCACGAGGAAGAUGAAGGCGACGACGGACACGAACCUACAACUGCGAGCGGCGGUGCCUCCCUUCGCGCGAAGGGAAACACGCGCGAAGAAACACGCCCGUGCGACAGAAAGACGCGCGCAAAGAUUUGGCUGGGUCCACUAGGUAAUUGCCAAGUCCAAAAUGCCAAACCAUUGGGGAUGAUCAUAUUUUUUCCUUUGCAUUUGUAAUUGAGAGUUGACAAACAAUAACAAAUGUCAAACCAAAAUUGCCAAACCAUUGUAGGUGCUCUAAACAAGUCCUUAAUCAAAGUACAUGCUUAGGCGCACAUCAUUCACGAAAACUAAGGAAAUAUACACAGAAAUCUCCUUUUGAGAGACAGAGCUUGACCGAGUUCAUCCAACAUCAGCAUUAAACAACGACGAACAGUACCAAAUUUACUGUUUAUUAGUCCCUCCGCCACAGUAUAUAAGACAUAACUACCUUUGGUUCAAAGUCUAAGAACACAUAAUUCUCUCUCUCAGCACUAGUACUACUACAAUAAUGUUUGUGAGAGAGUACGCCUUAUAUUAUAGUACAUGAACAAAAAAUGGUUACGCCUUAUAUAGAAGAACUUGAAAAUUGCAUUGGACAGGGAAGGAGCUAUAGACCACCUUAGAGCAUGUCCAACACUCUAACCCACAAAAUUAAAUAUGAAGGCUAAAGCUUAAAAAAUCAACUCAAACGAGGCCAGGACUCAAAAUUUUAGGGUCCAUAAAUUUCCACCCACGUCCUGUUCCCAUAAACCCUACUCGAAGCCCUCAAAUUUCUAUUUCAGCAAUUUUAGUUGUGUUUUGAUACGAGGGUCUUUGUCUUUCUCCUAGUCCUAGUCAUCUGUGGCCGUCCACUCCCGCCUACAACGUUUUUCUAGCACAACCACUCCCUCCUCCCAUGACUCUCCCUUUUCCUCACUAGUGGCGUCCUCUCCGGGAGCAGCACCAGCGACGUCCUUUUCAUUCUCGGCGCAGAUCUCCCCUAUGGCAGGACCCUCGGUGGCACUCCCUCUCGCGACAUACAUCCCUUUCGACUGCACCUCACCCGGCAAUGUCCCCUCUCUCGUCGGCCUAGAUCCCGCUCGACAACAACACUCUGCCAGUCUAUGUCUGCAACCCCCGGUAGCACCACUACCCGUAGCUCCAACUCUCCUCUUCAUCUCCUUCCUAGCUGUUUCUCUUUCCUCUCUAUCUUUCUGCAUCCAGUUGUCGAAGAUGGUCAUGUUCAUCAAGGAGAAUAAGAUAAGAAAGAGGAUGACAAAUGGGCCCCAUAUGUCAUGUCCUAUUAUUAGAAUAAAUUUGAGGACUUUGUCUUGAGAGCUAUUGCUGGAGUGUAGCGUAGAAUAAAACAUGAUCCACAAAACGCUGAGAAGCCCUCAAAUAAGAAAUAGAGACCGUGAUUAGCUUAUGAGGCACUACUUUUCAGCCACGGAUAUACAUGGCCAUGCAGCCCGCGGCCCGAUGGCUCGGCGAUUUGGCCCAGCCCGAGCACGGCCCAAGGGACUAGACUGUGCCUAGGCCGCCACCUAGGCACGUGACACGACAUGGGCAUAGCCCGUUCCAACGGUUGGCCCGAUGAAAAUAAACUGUUGGUGUAGUUGUGACUUGUAUAUAUAUAUUGUUAAUUGUUAUACUGGUGAAAAUGAUAAACAAUUAAUGAAAAUAAUAAAAUAUUCCAGGAUUUGGUGAAAAUGUUAAUAAAAAUGAGCUAUUGUCGGCUUGAUGGGCCGUGGGCCAGCACGACACGGCGUGGUUGACAGGCCGACAUGGCAAGAAAACUGGCCCACGGACCGUGCCUUGGACCGAAGGCCAGACAUGAAGCCCAUAGAGGCACGGCUUGCUAGGCACGACAGCCCGUAAUGGCUCGACGACCUGCGACACAGCACGACACGACGCCGCACGGCCUGUUGGACAUAUAUGGCCAUUGAAUAAUAUUUUUCUCUCAGAAUAAAUCAGCAUCAUCGGCUGACGUUGAUGCUAAUUUGUUUUGAGAGAAAAAUAUUGUUUCGUGGCUGAAAAAUAGUGUCUGGUUAGCUAAAGUCUAUCCUUUUGACUAGCAAUUAUUAGCUACUCCCUCCAUCCCAAAUUAUAAGGCACUCCAAAAUUCUUGGAGAGUCAAAACAUCUUAAGUUUGACCAAAAUUAUAAAGAUUUAUGACAUCAAAUAGAUAUACUAUGAAAAUAUAAUUAAUAAAGAAUCUAAUGAUAUUUAGUUAAUAUUAUAAAUGUUAUUAUUUUGUCAUAUAAAUUUGGUCAAACUUAAAAUGUUUUGACUCUUCCAGAUUCUUGGAAUGACUUAUAAUUUGGGAUGGAGGGAGUACUGCCUACCAAUGAUGGACCAAACUAAUUAAAGUAACGAUGAUGGCCUUAUUAUCAUAUAGGAGUGUGUAUAUAAACUAUAAGUUGUCGGUCGUGAUCAGACUAAAGUAAAACUAGCAGUUAGCUGUGGAAGGUAUAUAUAGACCAUCAGUACCUGUCUUCGGUUCUUCCUCCAAGCUUUAGGUACAUAGACUAGAGGGACAGAACAACAACCCAAAUGCACACACUGAAGUAGCAGUGAUGAUACUGAUAACAAUGCCUACUAAUUAUUAAUUAGUCAAGUAAGUAGGACCAUAUUCAGGAAUAUAUGCCUGUGUGGCUGUGUGCCAAAACACAGCCAAACAAACGGCAAAAGAAACUAUUCAUGAAAGUAUCCGAUAAUGAAAUUUACUGGUAUCGAAGUUUGUCACCCUUACCCUGCCUGAUUCCUGAGCAUUACGUAUCCAACAAAAAAAAUGAGCGAUUUACCAACAACAAGAAAAAUGCACACUAAAGUUCAGGUUUAUUGUUUAACACCGACAUGCACUGCCAUGUGACAUGUUCUUGAAAUAGUGGAACAGACUUCAUACGAAGUAUUCUCAAUUCACUCAUAUUCCUGUUUUAUCUGAAAAUAACGUAUUUAGGGGCCUUCUUACCGGCUACAGUACUUACUAGAUAUUUAAAACCUUCUCGUUCUUUCUUGUUGAACAGUAAAAUGAUGUAUUAUGUAUCUCUUUACUUCUGAAGCUGCUUGCUAGCUAUAGCUUGUGUGAAACUCUGAACAGCAAGUGUACUACUACUGCUAAGAGGAACCCAGCAUUGGUUCGAACUGAACCUCGCUAGUGUGUCCACUAAAAACGAUUUUCUCAUCAAGAUUUGAAUUUGAUACCCCAAGCGAAGUAAAGGAUAAUGCAAAAGCCAGCAGACAUCAGUCCUACCGAUCGAGUACCGUUCUCUAACCUCCAGACACUCGAUCGGACCUGUUCAGGAGUUGAGUUACCUCAAAGCUGGAGAAAAUCGUCGGUUGCAGGUACGCAAUGUCGAAGGUCGGAAUGACAACAUUGGUCAGCGUCCUGUCCAGCCUCGUAUUACCAAGGUACCGUCGGAGCAGCCCAUGGAGGUACUUGCCGUCGUACUUGGGCCCACACGCCAUCCUCAGCGUGCUAGCGAGCUUGGACCUCAUACCACUCCUGCAAAACUCAUGUCAUGGAGAUCACCGAUCAAUGCAUAUCCUUGUGUUGUAAUAGUACAACAAUACUAACUACUGGACAAAUGGUCGUUCUGAACUGUAAGCUAAGAAACCUAGCAGUCGUUACUUGUGUCGGAAGAUUUUGGGUGAGUGCUGAAUGUAGAACCGCGCCAGGUCCUUGGCAGCGAACAGUGGUCGUUCGUUAGCGUCCGGGGCUGUGAGCAUCGCCGUCAAGAGACCGCCGGUGCUAGUGCCAGCGACGACGUCGAAGUAGUCUGCAAUACGAGCAUCUGGUCCAUCCAGUUCCUACACACAGACACAAGCUAGCAUAAUGUGAGGACUCAAAAUUAGGGACAUCAUCACCAUGCAUGAAGCACUAGAUGAACUCAUCUCUUGGUUACUUGGAGCUUCGCUUCUAGGAAGGCGAGGAUGGUGGCCGGGAUGAUCCCUCUGAUGCCGCCACCAUCGAUGCUCAGUACGGUGACCAACUUGAGAUUGUCAGGGAGCGUCCUCACUGCACCUUCUGCAACACUAGUAUUUGCCAUCUCUGAUUUGAUCUUCUGGUGGCACAAAGAUUUGACCUUUUAAUUUGGUGGCACAAAGCAAGCUAUGCACUUAUGAGUUAUGAGAAGAGACAGGGGGGAAAGGUAUCGUGAAGAUAGUGCUAGGAAACAGCCAUUAAGGUUUUUAUAGUUAUAUUAAUACACCCCAGAGUUAAAUGAUCUAAUCUUUUCAAUUGCUUUUAGUUAGGUAGUAAAACGGUAGUCACAUCAGACGUGUAGAACCACCAAUUGGAUAGCAAUCCAACAUGCAACCACCAUUUCGGCACCAUAGGGGACACCAAUUGAUUGCACCAGUACUCCAGUACAAUAUGCAACCACUAGUUGAUUGCACAUCAAUCCAAGAUGAAACCAUCAAGACCACUCCAUUUGAUGUGUAAAUAGCUAUUCUAAACACUAAUUGCAUGAGGGAUGAGGAUGGCCUGACGAGAUUGAUGCUGGAUAUAGCAAACCACCACAAACAAGAUAGUGUAAUGUGAACCAAUCAGAAAGUUGAUCACAUACAUUGGACCUAGACGAAAAAUAACAAUUAGCGCGCAUUGUUAGGUACAACAUUUAAUUUGUGUUAAUAUAUAUGAUGCUUGGGCUUUGCUGUGGUACACUUAAAUGAUUGUGAGCCGUUCAUUUGAUUAGAUCGGAAGGCUAGAAUCAUCUAUUACUUCUAGAAGGUAAUAGAUGAAAUAAUUAAGUAAAGUUUUAGAUAUGAAGAUCUAUUAGACAUGAUAUUUUUUUUGCAACUUUAAAAUUUAAGAAUAAACUAAUUCUUUUUGAUGCACUUGUUACUUAUGCGUGUGUAUAUAUAUAUAUAUAUGCCCAACUUACAUAUAAAUAUACAUAUAUGAAACUUUACUAGAGUUACAUAUCUUAUUAGGAGAUCCUCUCAAUUAUAUAUGUAAUAUGACAAGUUUUUAGUUUUAACAUAAAACAUCAUCAAGCUUUCUACACAAUGAACCCGUUAAAAAUUUAUUUCUAGUACCCUAUUGUUAUUGGUGUACAAUUUUAACCUUAUAAUGUGAUAGAUUUAUACACAUCAGGACAUGAGAGUGAUGAUAGUUUUCAUUUUAGUUUAACUAUGGGAAUAAAAUAAAAAAGAAGGUCAUGACACAAUCGUGCAAAAGAAAAGAUACAGCCAUGCAUAAGAACAAGGAAGGAACAAUGAAGGGACUACCCACCUAUAUCCUCGCAUGAUUAGAGGGAUUUGAGAGUAUUUUCCUUUUUAAAUUAAUUAGUUGAUUUAAAAAUAUCUAAAAAAUUAAUGGCUCAGAUUUAUUUGAAAUAUUGCCUCCUAGAAAAUAAGAAGUGUAUUGUAGCAUUGCUCAUGAUGCUUGCGAUGAUUGAUCAAUGCAAUCAGCAAUACGAUGUUUGGUAUCAUUGGAGUUUAAUAUUCAAGGCUGUUCCACAAAACGUUUUAUCAUAUGUGGGAGGUAUACCCGGACACACGUUGCUCGUAUCAUUAGUUUCGCAUGCACCUAUAACUUCUAAACCGGUUGCAGCAGCUCAUGCAUGAAGGAAACUAUAUAAUUGUGUUAGUGUCAACAAGCAGUCAUAUGUACAAUCAUAACAUAAAAGUAUAUAUGUGGUUGCUACUUUCUAGAAUAAAUAUUUGGUUUACCCUUCUUUCUUUCACAUGUUGUUUUAUCAAAAAAAUUCAUAAGCUAGUCCACACACAUAGGCAUCUAUACUCCAGAUAUGGCACGACGACCACGGGCACACUCUAGGAAGACGUGGCAAAACCACGCCAUGUUUUCUAGUGGGCAUCUAUAGAAAAACAAGUUGUGGGGGUGUGGAGGGGGGGGGGUCCCGAGAGGGCGCACCUCAGAUAGACAUUAGGGUGUGUGGUUCGAAUAUUGACGGUGAUGUUAGGAGCAAGCGGGCGCUCCCACUCAUUGGACACACUGGCCAUCACAUUCACCAGAGUGGUAUUGGCACGUGGUGCACAAGAUAGUUGUCGGCGUCUAGACUCGUGGUCUAGGCACUAACGAGUAUAAGUCUGCGUGAUUACCCGAGCUUGGAUGGUGAUGCAAGUGAGACACAGGAGAUUUAUACUGGUUCGGGCCAAGAAUGCCCUACGUCCAGUGUGAUCGGGGGUUCUGUAUAACCUUGCACCCAAAGGUGCUUACAGUAGGGGGUACAAGCAGGUUGCGAGAGAGGGCUAAGAACCAGGUCUCGGCUUAGUGGUGGACAGAGUGCUAGUCGCUGCUCUGUGGAAGAGUGUGUUGGGCGUGUCUCCCUUUAGCUAUGAGCCCUGGCUCCCCUUUUAUAGCCUCAAGGGGAGACAGAGAUUUACAUGGGUAGAUGGGUAGAUUUCCCUGAGUGGAAGAGUUACAGCCCCGACCCUGUUGAAGCCUGUCCAUCUUGUCCUUGAGGGAUGGCCACUUCUGUGGAGGUUUACCGAGCCCUGUAGAAGUCAUGGGGGUCGGAUCGCCGGUACUGCUGAUCAUCCCGUCAAUAGUGGGAAAAGACCUCAAAUAGUGGUGCUGAUCAACCUCCCCCAUUCCCUUUCUACUGUGAGGCAGUACGCCACAGUGAAAGAGGUAAGGGCACACAGUGAAAAAAGGUGAAGCUGCAGUGCCCAGGGCGGUUGGAACAGUCGCCACCCUGCCCUGCUGCGGUAUGGGAGUCAUCGCGCUUGUCACGUCGCGGGUACGGGCGCCGUGUGGUCGAAGUCUUACUGUCCUGGUGGAUCGGGAUCCGGCGCCCGAGCCCAGAAGGGGUCAGGCGAGGCGGUGUCUGCGUCCGAGGCCCUGAGGGGUCGGGCGAGUCGGAACUUGCGUCCGAGGCCCUGAGGGGUCGGGCGAGUCGGAAUUGGCGUCCGAGGCCCUGAGGGGUCGGGCGAGUCGGAACUGGCGUCCGAGGCCCUGAGGGUCAGAUGAGCUGGGGCCCGUGCCCCGGUCCUUGUGGUUAACUUGCUUUGUCCUUUGCGUUUUUUAUUGCUCUGAUUUGGGUAUCCCUUUUUAUGGUACCCAACAGUAGCCCCCGAGCCUUUAAAGGGGUGAGGUCACCUCUUCAGAGGUUCUUUCUCAUGGGACUUUUUGUUGACUGGGAGCUUUUUACUUUUCUCCGGAGGGUGCACGCGAGCGCACCCGCCGGGUGUAGCCCCCGAGUGAAGGGUCGAGAUGGCGGACUAGAGGGGGGUGAAUAGUCCUUUCUAAAAAUUAUCGCACCGGCUAACCAAAACAAAUGCGGAAUUAAAUCUAUCGGCCUAGCCAAGACUACACCCCUCUAUCUAAGUUCUCUAGCACCUUGUAAAAGAUCCUAAACAAGAAAACAAGAUGCUUCCUUAGCAAGAGCUCACCUAACCAAUUCUAAAAGCAAGGUCACACAAACCUAUGCAACUAGUACUUUGCAAACCGGGGGAGCUCCUACACAAACUAGUGAGGCAAAGCGCACGAAGCCUAAGCUCACUAGCAAGCUCAAUAACAAGGCAACUAAUGCCAAAUUAGAGAGCGCAACUUACUUAGCUACACAAACUAAGCAAUGUGACUAACAAGGUUACACAAACCGAAUUAGCCACACAAGGGAACUACUUCUAGCUACACAAGCAAGAAGGUAACUAGCAAGCUACACAAGCUUAACUAAUUACAAAAGCAACUACACAAGCACAAGUAUAUAAAGAAUGUAAAUACAAGCUUGUGUAAGGCGAAUGCAAACCACCGAGAAGAGUAGACAAUGUUGACACGGUGAUUUUUACCGAGGUUCACUUGGUUGCCACCAAGCUACGUCCUCGUUGUGGCGAUACACCCACUUGAUGGAUCACGAGCUAAUUGGCAAUCCAAAGCCAAACCCUCAGCGGGUGCCGCACAUCCACUCUCAAGAUGGGGAUCCUCCAAGCCACAAGCAAUCCACUAGAGUUGCUCUUCGCGAUCCCCGCGGGGUGAGCACCGUACCCCUCACAAAUCCUCCUCCGGAGCACCGCACAAUCUUCUUGCGUGCUUCAAACGGAGUCACAAACCACCAAACCAUCUAGGUGAUGGCAAUCACCAAGAGUAACAAGAAAUCCCCAAUCAUAAAGAUUUCCUAGUGCCACCAAAUGCAAAUCCCGAAUGCACACACUAGGCUCUCACUCCCUUACUCAAAAUAGCACCAAGCAUGAGAGGGAGAGGAGGGGGAAAGGGUGGAUCUUCAACCUCUCAUCCACACCCACAAAGGGCUCUCAAUCUCUCCAAGAGAUUUCAACUCUAAUCCAUGGGAGAGAAAGAGGAGAGGAGGAACCCUAACUUCCUUGCGCUCCAAAAGGGGAGAGAAAUGAGUAGGAAGAAGAGAAUGGCUCCCUCAUCUACUCAGCUCGCGCUCCAAACGGUAUUUAUAGAGUACCACCGGAAGUUCCGGUGCCUGGGACCGGAACUUCCGGUCUGACCAGAUCUGACCGUUGGAGCCUCGGUCCAAGCAGAUCUGACCGUUGUGGCCUAGCAGAUCUGACCGUUGUGAGAGACUCGGACCCAUCGGAAGUCCCCCCGGAACUUCCGGUCAGACACUGGAAGUGAAUCCUGACACGCGAGGCCAUGCGCAAAGGCUCCUAUGCGGACUUCCAUUCAAGGACCGGAACUUUCGGUUGUGGACCGGAACUUCUGGUCAAGGACCGGAACUUCCGGUCAGACACCGGAAGUGUUUUCUCAAACGCGAGCGCACCUCUUACAGCCCAACCGGAACUUCCUGUCAGGCUGACCGGAACUUCAGGUCAGGCACCGGAAGUACCACCGGAAGUCCCACCGGAACUUCCGGUCCUGCAUUCUCAGCAGCACCUCAAAACUUGUUAGGAUGCUAACUUUUAGCUCCGAACUCCGAAUUCGAUGAUCUUGGACAUUUUGGAAAGCUUACUCAGAGGGCUAUACAAUCCAUAUGGAUACUCAAUCCAAAUCAUAAUGGAUCAAAGCAGUAUUUCAAUCUAAAAGCCAUCCUAAUGUCCGGAGAACACCGAAAAGCCUCUCUCUCUUCUCCAAGUUGAUCAAAAUCAACUCCAACACCUUCUCCUUUGCAAAUGUGCCAACACCACCAAGUGUACACCACCAUGUGCAUGUGUGUUAGUAUUUCACAAACAUUUUUAUAGGCUUUCUCAUGCAACUCACCACGUCACUAAGCGCUAGGUAUAUGCAAAUGAGACUCACACUUAGUGGCACUAGAUAACCAUUGCAAUUAAAGAUUUCCCCUCUUUAUAGUACGGUUAUCUAUCCUAAAUCUGGUCAAGCACUUCUCUACACCCCUAUGACCGGUGAAAUGAAAAUGCCCUAGGUUAUACCUUUGCCUUGCGCUUUCCAUUCCAACUCCUUCGAUGUUGAUGCAACACAUGCACCAACCAAUCACAAAUGAUAUGAUCCACUUCAUAUCAUCAUGUGACCAUAUUGGUUCAUCGAUCUUGACCUCACUUGCUCUUCACCGUUGUCUCAGUCCAUCGACGCCAAGUCUUGCUCAAGCUUCACCGUCACACGCGGUCCCUCGCUUCAAAGCCUCCGACUUGCCCUUCACUCUUGCAACCGGUCCGUCGAGCCAAGCCUCAUCUUGAUCUUCUCCACCUUGGUCACAUGACUCCAUGUCAUGUCUCAUAUGCAAUGAGAUCCUUCAUCAUCACAUAAUCACCUGUGGACUAAUCUCCUGUGUAUCUCACAUAAACACUAUUAGUCCAUCUAAGUUGUCACUCAAUUACCAAAACCAAACAAGGACCUUUCACCGAGCCUUUUGGAGGAAUGGUAUUAUUCCUUUAAAGGCUUUUACCCCUAACAACUAUAGUCUGGAGUAUUUUGAGGGAUAGGUUGCGCGUUCUUUACACGUAGUGCCUGUUCCCAUGGUGCGAGGAAGCCCCCGAGCCCUUUCCCCGCAAGGGUCGAUCAGGUUCUUUCUCGUCUUGUAAUUACGUCUCUCAUUCUUCCUUUCGCUCGGAGGAGGGGUGGGUCGUGCCGUACUACCCUCGAUGGGCGAGUGACGACGCUUCCCGGGAGCUGCAGGCGGGUAGAUCCAAGCGGAUGUCCGAGUCCCAUUCGAUAGGGGUCGGCUAGUGGCCCUAUGGGCACAUCUCAAAAAGUACCCGAGGGCGGUCACGGUGGAUGUCGGAACCGUUCGUUAGGUUCCAAGGGCUCGAUGCCUCCCUCGAUGGGAUUCCACUCACGCGACACCCGCAUGGGUCUCGGAUAUGACUUGUAAAGAUGCGCCGACUCCCUAUAGGGCUCGGACCUUGGCCUCUAUUGUGCUCAUCUUCAGUCAUCCCUCGCUCAGUCAUCCUGAGGCGACUGUUCGAACCUGUGUCGCAGGACAGUCUCGCAACCUCUGGAACGUAGGUGGCCAUGGCCUGGGGAUUUUGGGCCUCGAAAGGCUUUUUUCAGACUUGUUCUGUAGUGUUGGGGUCGGGCGAGACGGAAUCUGCGCCCGACGGGAAACCGCUUUGCAAUUUUGCUUGGGGUCUUGAUGGGGUCGGGCGAGACGGAAAACUGCGCCCGACGGAGGCCUUCCUGCGACGCUUGGUCAGCGGGGGGUCGGGCGCCGCGUCCCCUGGAAGGAACCACCCUGACAUAACUUUUCAGGGCGCUUCUUUUGAGGCGCGGCACGUGGGGACUCGAAAUGGCCGUGCCGUCUCGCCCUGGCUGGAUGGGACGUUUUGCCUGCGAAAUAAAUGCGCGCGUGCGGCGGGCGUGAGAGUCGGAGGGAGUUGGCGCUUCGAAUUUUUCACCUGGUGGGGAGUGGACGACGGUUGUUUUCCUUCCCCCUUGGCCUUCUGCAUAGGCGGCGUGGCCGUGGCGUGCCUCUUCUAUAAAAGCGGCCGCAGGGGACUUGGCUCCUUUUCUACUGCUCCUGCAUAAGAAAACUCCUGCUCCCUGCCUUCUCUUCUGCCGCCAUCUUCUCUACUUCCGCCGCGCAGACGCCCUUCUCCAUCCAAAGCCAUGGCCGGCGUUGAGGCGUGGCCACCUUGCAGCGUCACCAAAUCCGUGCUGGAGGCCUGCGUGAGGGCCGGGAUUCUCCGUCCUCUCAAGGACGUUGAGUUCCCGGAGUGGAUCGUUCCUUCGGCGAACGACAGGGAACCAAACCCGCCGCCGGGCUAUGUGGUUUGUUUCCUGUCGUUCCUAGACCGGGGGUUUGGAACUCCGGCCGGUCGUCUGAUCAGGGCGAUCCUCCACUACUACGAGGUGGAACUGCACAACCUGAACCCCAACUCGGUGAUGCAGGCCACCGUCUUCGCCACGGUCUGUGAGGGGUUUCUGGGGGUUCGCGUCCACUGGAACCUCUGGCUUCACCUUUUCAAGGCGGAGAUGUCGGCGCGCUACGAGGGAGGAGAGAAGAUCCCCCUGUGAGUGGGCGGUUGCACGCUGCAGCUUCAUCAGCAGCGGGCUAGGCAGUACAUCUGGAGUACGAGGGGUGGCAGAACGGAUGGUUCUACCUCCGGAAUGACGGCGGUCUGCUCCCGCCGUACACCAGGAAGAUGGUGACGGAGGCCCCCCAGAAGUGGGUGUGGGGUGCUCCGACUGAGGAGCAGAAGAGGCUCGCCCCGCUUCUCGCGGGGCUCCAGAAGCUGCGGGAUGCCGAAGCCACCGCGGCCACGGUGGCGAUUGCCUUCCACAAGAGGAGUAUGCUCCCGCUGGCGCAGCAGCGAGCGUUUAUGUUUGAGAUGACUCGGGACGUCCCCUGGGCUGGGACAAAGAUGCUGGCCGAGCCGAUAUCGGCAUCGGACAUCACUGCCCGGGUGGAGAAGACGACGCACCCGGACAUGAAGAAUUCCCGGGUGGUGCCGAUGCACCCUGAAAAGGGCUACAUUUCUCUGGUAAAGUGUGGGUUUUUGCGCCUUCUUCCUUUUUCCUUCCUGCCUUUUUCUUGACCCCUGGUUGUUUGCAGAGGAUGGGCGUCGUCAAGGAUUCCCUGCCCCCUGUCCCAGAGGACAAGGAGAUCCGGGCCAAGAAUCGGGCCCGGAACAAAGAACAAAAGAAGGCCAAGGAGGACAAGAAGGCCAAAUCGGCGUGGAGGGCGCAAAGGCGGGAGAUCUCCGCCAAGAACCGCCGCGAAGCCGAGAAGGCGGGGGUCGCCCCGCUCCCUUCUCCCAAGACUUCAGUCUCGGAGAUAGAGGGCGGGGGAGGCAACGCCGACUGGCUCGACGAGCUAGCGGAGGAGGACGACGUGAUUCCCCCUGCCGGUGGGGGGAUCGAGAUCCCAGAGGGGCCGAAGGCCCAAGAGGGGUCUGAGGCCCCCAAGGGGUCUCAGGAGCCGGGGGGGGCGGGCAGACCGUCCCCCACAUUAUUGUUGUCGAUGAAGACAGCGCCCCCCGGGAGGGUCCAGUCCCCGUGGGUCCCCAGGAGGGGGAGAAGGCGUCGGGGGACGAAUCCGAGAUGCCCCCUCAACCGGUAGUGCCAGAGGGUCUGGCCGAACCCAGCCCAGUGCCUGGGGCGGGGGCCGGCGCCUCGGGGGAGGCGACGCAGGCUGAGACUACCGUCGAGGCCCCUGCGCUAUCCUCAGGCGAGACGGGGCCCGGCCAACGGCCCCUGGCGCUUUGGGAGGCCCCCAAGGAGCCCCGAGCUCCCAGAAAAAGUCUGCACCCGAGCAAGGUUCGUAUAAGAUUUCUAAUCCUUCCGCUGAUUUAUUGUUUUUCUCUUUCUUCUGAUUUGUGUUGCUUCUUCAGCCGGAAGCAAAAGGCGGCAUCGGUGGCGCUGGCCCCCCUGAAGGCCGUGAAGAGGGGGGCGCAGUCGACUCCUGGGUCCGCUAGGCCCGUGUCGCCACCCCCUCUGAGCCGUGAGGUGGGGGAGCGCCGUCAGGGGCAGGAUACGGGGGCACCGAGGCCCCAAGGGCAGAAGGAGACGGCCCUUGCCCCCAGGGCUACGCCUCCUCCGGAGGACGCUGAUUUGGGAGGUGCGGUUCGGACCGCGCAGGUCGAGGAAGGUCGAGCUAUCGUGGCAUCCAGCGUGGCGCCCGAGGCCUCCACGGCGAGAGGGGAGGGAGAUGCCCGAUGGGGCAAGAGCCCCGUAAUCUGGCCCAACCUCGACGAUGCCGAGGGAGGGGCCAGAUUCGUUUUGGACGACCCGUCGGAGGAUUACCUCUGGCAGGGUCUGGACGCGUGUGGGCAUGCCAGCGUCGAGGCCAUCAACCGAGCCUCUCAGCUCGUGAACCGAGACAUGUAUAACUUGGCCCAGGUAAGGCUUCUUCUCGUGUUGUGAGAUAUUUUUGCUCUUAUUUUGCAAUACUGACUCCCUGUGUGAUUUCUGAUUCUGUAGGCGCUCAAGGCCACAUCCCUGGAGAAGUCAGUUUUUCUCCGCCGGGAAAGGGAUGCCUGGGCGACCUAUGAGAACGAGAGGGCUGCUAGGGAGGCGGCAGAGGGGGAGCUCGUGAAGGAGUGUGAGAUCUCUGCCGAGCUUUGGCAGAAGUGCUCGGCUCUGGUAUCCGAGGCUCAGGAGGCCCGGGAAAAGGUCACCCCCCCUAGAGAAGAGGGUCGGGGACCUUACCCAGGAAUCCGAGGAGCAGAAGGCAGCAGCUGAGGGGUAUAAGGGUGAGGUCGCUCGGCUUGAGGCUUUGCUCGCCGAAAAAGACCUUGCCCUGAACCAAACUCAGGCUGACCUCACUGCGGCUCUGAGCCAGGUGGCCCGCUGGCACCAGAGCUCGGCGGAGCAGGAGAAGCGAGCCGAAGGUAAGAUUUGCAUUUUUUACCUCGGUCCCCUUUGUUCUUUCGGUUAAUUUUCCUAACUUCUCAUUUUUUGUUCUGCUUUUCAACAGACUUAGAGAGGAAGGUGGUCGAGGCGACCUCUACUGCUGGGGCUUUGCAGGAGUCCCUUAACGCUGAGGUUUCGGACCGUUCGGCUCUUGAAGCCGUGGUUACCUCGGCGUGUGAGGGGCUCGGGGUGCCGGCGUCGGGGUCGUCACUGCGGAGUCGGGUCGAAGCCCUUUACUCUCGGGCCGGGGAGAGGAUGAGGGAGGCGCUCCACGCCGGGGUGAAGAAAGCCCCGGCAGUGGUGAGUUCUCACUACGCCGGUAUUGACUUGCUGGCGGUCUGUGAGGGCUACGUCCUCCUUGACGAUGAGACGGAGGCCCAGGAGGAGGUGCAGAAGCUUGAAGACGCCGUGGCUGCCCCCGGGGAUGCCUUGGCCGCCUUCUUCGAUGACGAGGUGGAGCUUCCCCCCCCCCUCGGGGCUCAAGGGUCUGCAUAGGCAGGGCAAUAAGGCCCUUUAGAUUUCUUUUUCUUUUUUUUGAAGAUGUUAAGGCCAGUGGGCCUUGUAUUGUAUAUACAAUGUUAAUGUUCAGUAUGGAUUUUUAUAUGACUGUUCCUUUUAUGUCUUGUUUUCUUUUUUCUUAUGCCGAUCCGACCUCGGUAGCGUGGGGUCGGGUGAGCUGCUCGCUAGCCAAAGUCCCCGAGCUUAAGUCUUUUUCCUUUUUCCUUAGUAGCUUUUUAGAAGUCCGGAUCCGCCCCCCCCCCCCGAAUCUAAGGUGAGUAGAGGCCGUCUUUUACUCGUGAGCGCAGAUCUUUCCUCGGGCUCAUGCCUUAAGAUUCAGGGGAUGGAUUUUCGGUUUCUUAAAUCUUUCUAGGAGAGAGGAGGAAGACCUUGAGUCGGGGUUCCUUUGACUUGAGCGAAAAAAGGAAAAAAGACUUGGAGUCGCCACAGGGGGUUCCCCCCAUGUAGCCCCCGAGGGAGGCUCGGACUGUAACAGAACCGCCCAAUUUACAAGAGAUCAACUACGAAAAACUCCCGCCAAAGCAGUUGCUUUAACGUAAUCGAACUCUCAUAAACCCGGUAGUCCGUGAAAUCAUGAGGGAUUUCAAACCAACCAUCUUACAAGCCAAGAUCGUAGUGAUUCAACAUAAGAAGUCACAUGUUACAUCCAUUUCACAAGUAGUUUGAUAUACAUCAGAGUUCAAGAUAGUUAUUACAACUUGAGUUGAAAAGUAGCGGAAGCAAAGUAAUUUGAAACUAAUAUUGCCCUUAUUUCAAAUACAUGCCAGUAUCCAGGUCAACUCCAACAAAAGCAACAUAGAUGAGGUAACUAAGAAGGAUCAUGCCCAUGAUCUUACUCCUCCACUAUGAUAGGAGUCAUCCAACUCUUGCAGUAGCCAUGAUACAUCACAACCUGCAACAAGUGGGAAUAAACCCUGAGUACGAGAAGGUACUCAGCUAGACUUACCCGUCAUAAACCAGAAAUAAUAUGACACCAAGGAGUAUGCAAGGCUUUAUUGGUGGAGCUAGCUUGACAACACUUUUUGCAUAAAAAGCUUAAGUUGCAACUAAGUAAUCCUUUCAGGUAUUUAGCUCAAGUUAAUAAUCAUUAACCUAUCAUCUAGAUUAGCACCUGUACUAAAGCAAUCACUUGAUUAAGAUACAACAGUAGUACCCAUGUUUGAUGUGGCAUUUCCCACAUCAUCAUCAUACCAUAACCAUCCAAGUGUUCCAUAAACAUUACUACGAGGACGGGGCUCAAGUCAAGUGCUCACUAUCCAGGAGCGAUGGCGAUUCGAAUCGAUUUCUGACCAGCUGGCGAGUUAUUCCCCACACAAACCACACUCACUGAUCAAGUGAGCUACAGGUCACCGUAUUACACUAUCCAGGACCAAUUCGCGGGUUCGGCAGGCACCGCCAGUACCCGAGGACCGUUCCGGCGACCGAGGUAUCCAAGGUAUACCAAGGUUGCGCGCCGCGCCCUCGUCGUUCUCCUCAACCAUCACCAAUACAGCGCAUGGCGGCUCGACUCCCGGCCCGGAUAGUGUUCAGGCUUCGCGGUCGGAACGACUUAUCCUUCCAGCUAAGUGUGGGGCAUGCGUUCAACAUGACAAGAGGGCCGUCAACGAUCGGUCCUUAAUCGACACAGGCGGGGAUAGGUAGGCACCCAAGACCUCCAUGCCUUGUUGCUUCUCUAUCAUCGUCCCGCCCGGUCUCCAAUUAUUCAUCCUCAUCACUUGGUUAUUUCCAUGAUAGCAUAUAUAGCCAAUCUUUUCAGGUGUGCACCUAUCUCGCUCAGGUGACGUGACAUCACCUGGCUUCUACCGGUCUAAGCAUAGCUAAGCAUUUAGAUUCGAUCCUGAAUCUACAUAGGGUUAUAGGUAUAUUUGUUGGACAAGGAGUGUUAUAUGCAGCAAGGGUUUCACCCAACUCCUAUACUUAAUGCAACAAUACAUAUAUAACAUAUAUUCUCAACUGCAUUCAAAAGUAGUGGGAGACUUAUAAUGCUCCGGGGCUUGCCUGGGAUCAACACUGAGUCAGUUCAGUUAGUGGCUCCAUCUUGGUGACAUAGUCAGUUCUUUUUAACUAGCACGGGGUUGGCUAACCACUCGGGAUGGAAUACCUCCUUGAUGAAUUCGGCCGUCAGCAACUUGUGGAUCUCCUCCCCGAUGGCCCGACGCUUCUCCUCGUCGAAUCGGCGCAGGCGUUGCUUCACGGGUUUGGAGCCGGCUCGAAUGUCCAAGGAGUGCUCGGUGACUUCCCUCGGUAUUCCAGGCAUGUCCGAGGGACUCCACGCAAAUAUGUCGGCGUUUGCGCGGAGAAAGUCGACGAG